AGGCCCAACAAGUAUCUCAAAAGAGUUAAUCAAAACAGUAAAUAUUCAUGGCAGUUCACGUAAGAGAAUGAAGCAUGUUAUAGCAUAAAACCCCAUCCCGUUACGUAUCAGAGCGACCUAGACGACACAGUGAAGGCAAGGCCACUCACGACGGCAACUGCACACUAAGCACGAUCACCUGCAAGUUACCCAUACGAAGGGCAACAUUUUCAAGCAGAAGGGGUGAGAUUUCAUAAUAAAGUAACAUUAAUCAAUGUAAUUGCGAAUCAUAAAUUAACAUCAUAAUCAUUCCAUUAUUAAUAAAUGCUAAACAGUUAUCACGUAAUCAUAUAUCUAAUUCAUUAUGAACAACGUAACAUAAUCAAUAAACACUUAUCACGUAAUCACAUAUUCAUUCAUUAUCAACAAGGCAUCUUAAUCAUGACAAUGUGACAAUGCUCCUAGACUCCUUAUAUGCAUGUGGUACCAAUCGUCAUCAUAAGUAUUAAUAUACUUUAAUCGUGCGGAGGACAAAGCUCCUAUAAAACGUGCGGAGGACAAAGCUCCUAAUAUUCGUGGUGAGGACUAAGCUCAAUGAUAUGCUAUGCAUGGACACAUAUGAACAAAACAUCGUAGUCAACUUAUCAACAUGCAUCCAAUAAUUUGGAGCUAAACUUCAUCAUAUAAUUAUGCACUUAGUUAAAUAACGGAAGCAGCAUAAACAGGUCACAUAACAAGAUGAUAUUCAUUAUAUCAAAGCACAUAAUUUGUAUCAUUAUCACAUCUUCUUAUCUUGCAUGAAUAUACAAUACAAUAGUUCAUAUUCAAUUAAUACUAAUAUAACUUAAACAACUCUACAGUCUGCAUUAAACGACAUCACUAGGUCUCAUUACCAGUUAGGGGUUCACUCUUGAUCAACAAGUGCGACACAGAUCGCAUAAACACAUAAACAAGUUCAUCCUGGUUGUACUCGCGAGGCGAGAGUACUUACUCGCCAUGGCGAGUACCACUCAACUCCCAAACUAAGGUUGUUCUGGGUUCCCUCUGAUCCUACAUUCAUUCCUAAUCAAUACUAGGAAUGCUCAGGUACUCAAAGGCAUACAAGAUUCAACUAAAAAGGUCGAAACACGAAAUAUGACAUGCACUCUGCCUAAGCUCGCGAGGCGAGGAAGGGUUGCUCGCCAUGGCGAGUUGCACCAAACAACUCGCGAGGCGAAGGGAAGGGGCUCGCGUGGCGAGCGAUGAAGUUCAUCACUCGCGAGGCGAGGAUCAUCACUCGCCGUGGCGAGCGAUGAACAGAAGCACGGGCAGACUAGGGUUUUUCUCAAAAAUCCAUCACACAACAUGGUUCAAAGCGUGGUUUUGAUUCCAGAAUUCAUCCUAAACAUAUUCUAAGGUUAAAGGACAGUUCUUUCAUCAAUCUAACAAGUUUUACCGUUUGAUCAUCAAUUUUUUUAGGGUUUUGACCUAAUUCCAAAACUUCUCUAAAUCAAUCCUAACUUUGUCAACUAAUCAUCAGAAUUACAGUAAAUAACAUUAUUGAAUUAUUAGUCUCACCCUUACCUUGAAUGAAGAAAUCGCAGCCCUCACUCUAGGUUCCUCUUCUCUUGGCUUUUUCUUCCUUUUCUCCAAAAACAGUCGUACGUACUUUAUGUUUUUCUAAACUAGGCCUAACCUUUUAUAUCUCCUCUUAAAAUACUUAUCUUAUCUCACUUUCUCCCCCAACACUAUCUAAAAUAUCAAAACAGCCCUCAACUAAAUAUUUUAUAUUAUUUUCAAAUCUUUAUUCUAUUUAACAAUAAAAUAAAUCUCAUAUCAUAAUCAAAUCCUCCAAAACUCAUAACUUAUCACGUCAUCAAUCAAAUCAUCAUAAGUCAUCAAAACAUACCAAAAUCAUGCAUAUAUUAUAUAAUUAUAAUAUAAUCACCUAAACUCGAUUAAAUAAACGAUUAAACGAAAGUGGGCGUUACAGAAUGGAAACUUUUGACAAUCAUGAUGUUGAUGUCAACUUUUCAAAGACUAAUUUUUCAAACAGUGUGGGAAAAGCUUUCGUACCGGACCAUUGGCUCGAGGAAGAGACAACGCCGAAAGGCAGGACUAGUGGUAAACAAAGUUUACUCAUCACAAAGAGCGACUACAAAAGAAAGCCUCAACAUUUUAGCCAAACUGCACCAUCUACGGUUCCAGAAAGUGGUGUUCAAAAGAGAUUGAAAUUUCACACCCCUUCGCCGACACUAAAGCCAACACAAAGUCAUUCUUCGAAAAAGAGCGCCAAACUUCGUCAAUCGGCGAAGAAUUUCAAAGGACGGCGGGAAGAAGCUACUCCAAGAAGUGCUAGGAUGAAAGGUGGGGUUACACCCAAGGUAAAAAUAAAUAAUAUUCAACUAAUGCUUUUGUUGAUUAUGUAAGAUGAUAACUAUAUAUGACUGGUGUUUUGCAUGCGUAUAACAAUCCAUGGUUUACACUGCAGGGAAAGGAAAUUGCUCUUGACACCAAGAAUGUUGCUCUUGACGAAAGAACAAAACGAGCUCUUAGGAAUGCACAUGUUUGCGCCUUCCUUUUUCAAAAAUCAUCCGAAGUUAAUUUGAUUAACGAGACACUUGUGUUGACGAUGAGUCUAACAACUACAAGGUCUGAACUUCAAUGUCUCCUCCCUGAUGUACAUAUAACUAAAUUGGUAAGAACACAGAUUACCUUGAAUUUGAGUUUGAGUUAUUUUGGCAACAUUAGGUAAACUUACAAAAUGUAUACAUUGCAAGGUCAUUGCAUUGGCAGCGGCAAGAGUAACAUGUAGACACACCUUGAGGCAGUCUGUUUGGUGCCUCCCACCAUCAUUUGCGGUUUGCCUAUAGUUUCUCUACUAUAGUGUUAAAUUUUUUAUAAGUUAUUUAAAAAGCAAAGUAGUAGCAUAAUAUGAGAUAUUAUUUUGUUUACAAAUAGUUUGAUUUCGAGGAUGGAUUAUCGUUACCACACAUAAGAGCGAAGUACCGUGGUGACUGGAUGGCCCCUUUCGCUAAAGUGUAGUUUGCAAGUAUACAAAUCAAAAAAUUUAAAAGAUUACUCGUUGUCAAUCUAUAACCACUGUGACAUCUUGUAUUACAGAUAUAUAUCCCAUUGAGGGGUGCGGAGGGUCAUUGGUUUUUGAUGGUGGUACAUGUUCCAAGCGGAAUAACGUAUCACCUUGAUUCUAACUGUCCAGCUGGACUAACCGAGGAGCAACAACAUUACAAGAUUAGAAGAAUGGUAAAUAACAUAUAAACUAUUUUAAAUAGAUACUUGCUAUUAUUCGAAAACAUUGACAUUGAAGUCCACUUUAUAUUAGGGAUUGUUGUUACAUCGCCUUGUGGAUUGUGAUGAAUACUCCACGAUCUUUCCCAAGAAGAGUCAAGAGUUUGAAAAGUUUGAAAUUGUCCGGCCUAAUUUAAUGAUCGAUGGCUGUAGUAGGUAAGAUAUUGUAAUUUUUAAAAUUAAUGAAUCAAUUAGUGUGCUUCUGUUAUGCGAUAUAAUAUAGUUGUUAUCACUGCAGCAGUGAAAACUCCGGAGUAUGGGUGUUGCACUGGCUAAGUAUGGAACAUUAUUAUAGACCGGAAAAUUUUCUUAGGAUCGUAAGUUUUAUAAAAUAUAAUAAUUAUAUAUCAUUAUUUGGUCUAAACUAAUUCCACAUUCCAUCUUUAUGUCGAUCUUUUUACUAAGCACUUUAUUUGUAGAUGGACGUGAAAUCUGUGCGGCUGAACACUGCGGUUGAAUUGUUGAUUGGGGAUGAAAAUUCCCUCCGCUAUGAAGUUUAGAAAAAGACCGAUGAAUUUUUGAAGGCCAGGAAUGAGAAGAAACCCAUUGAUCUGGAUACCGAUUAAUGGUUGUGUGUAGCUAAUCUAUCUCAUCUCCAAUCCAACCAUUUUUUUGGAGUCAAUUGUGUGGUUUGAUACGAAGAUGAGACAGAGACAAGAUUUUUUGGUUUUGGGUGCUGUUAUCACGAUUUUGGGGUAUCAAGUCAUUAAUUAGGCUUGAACCUUUCAAUCUUUGAUAUUCUCUAUUUUUUCUUGGGAAGGGCAAAAUUGAGAAAACCCUUAGAAAUUCUAAGUUCGGGGGUCGUUUUCGUUACGGGAAGGUGUUAGGAACCCGCAAUGACUAUAGUACUCUAUAGGAACCGUUUUCUUAGUUUUAUGUCUACGCUUUUUUUUUUAAUGCUAUUUAUUAAAAAGAAGUUGAUUAUGUUAAGAAUGGAGGGAGGAAAAUGUUUGAAGUUUUAUUUUAUUGGACUUGGUGAGGUUUUGACCUCUUGCCUACAUACCCUUUUAAGGGAUCAAAAUGCCAUGUAGUUCUCUUUCAAAAAAUGUUUUUGUGUGUUUGAUUGAUUUUAGUUUUUUUUGGAAAAUGAUUUUGAAGAAGAGAAAGAAGCCGUAAAGGCAUGAGAAAAAGUAGUGAAGAGUUGGUUCAAUUAUUAAAAAGAAAAUGUCUAAGUUGGAAUUAGAGUUCAUUUGAGUUUGAUUAAGAAAAUAAAAGAAGAUGCAAUGGAGUUUUGACUCCAAGGUUUAUUUGGAAAAAUUUUCAAGUGAUGGAAUUUGCUUAUUUUUUUUGGAAAAUUGACAUUUUUCUAAGUAUCGCGUUUCCUAAGCAUACAUCUAAAGCGGUAAACAUACAACGUGUGUGCGUGUCGGUGCUUGUGUCGGUGUACAUCGUUAGAGAGUCCAUUGUCCGUUACAUUGGCCCUAAUUUACAUUCUAUGGUCUUGCAAGAAAUUAAAAGGAAAUUUAAACUACCUAAAAUAUUACAUGACAUUUUAACAUAGAAAUUAAAAGAAAAAUAAUGCCUAAGCUAUGAGAAAUUGAGAUGAAAGAGGUGAGAUGCUCAUGGGAUGGAUGAAACAUGAAAUGAAAUGGUUAGUGAUAUAAGGCAUAAAAAUGGUAAACAAGGUAAACAAAAUUGAAUAAGAUAGCAAAAAAAGAAAAGAGCAAUGAAGUGAAAUAAAAUGGCAAAAUAUACCUAGAAUUUGUUAUAACACUUAGACAUGCACAUGACCUAUAAUUCUCUCAUCAUAGCAACUUUAAAGAGGUUUGAUUUUAAGCUAUAAUGUGAGGAUAACAAGGACACAUACAAGCCAAGCAUUAUAACACAUUCAUAGAAAUAUUUUACACUUCUUCUUUUGUAAAAAAACACAUAUUAUUGGCAAAAAUAAAGGAUUGAAAACACACAUCACACCAACAGUAAAACACACAUAUAAUCAGGGAUAUAUUCAUCAUGAAAUUGCACAUCGAUCAUUCACAUCACAUGCCAAAAUUUUAUGAAGAAAAUAUGGCAAGAAAUUCACAAAAUUAGACCAAAAAGAACAAAUUAAUCAAGAAAAUAUCACAUAUAUUUUUAUCAUUUUUUAACAUGUAAAAACAUCACAAAAGUAUCAAAAAUACAUCAAGAAACAUAUAGGAAUUUUUAGAAUUUUUUUGCAAGAAAAUUGGACAAGCAGGGGGUUCAGAUAGCAAGAAAUAGGGUGCAAAUAGCAGGAAAUAAGAAAAAAAUAUAUAGAAACAAACAAACUGAAAAACCAAGCCCAAAACCCAUGGAUCUGGAUGCACAGGGAGCGUUGGAUUGAUCCAGGAAGCCAAACCCUAGAUCUAAAGGUUCAGAAUGAAGGGAAAGAACCAGAAAUAAACCGGACCGGUUCAGUUGUUUAUAAAAAGGCUUAUGGACCGAUUUUUUUCAUUUCUUCCUCUCCUUUCUCUCUCUUCUCUCAUUCUAGUGAGAGAAGCUCUCACUUCUCUCCUCCCUCUCUCUCGCCGGAAACCGGAAAUGGAAGAUGAUCUUCGGCGUAAAAAAUUCUAGUGAGUGAAAACCGGAAACCGGAAAUGGAAGAUGAUCUUCUCUCAUUCUAGUGAGUGAAGUUUGUUCCUCCGGCGUGGUGGCCGGCCGCCCAAGGGUGGCGGCGCCGCCGUCAGUGGCGGAGCCAGACAAAAAUGUUUGGGGUGGCCGUUAUCCCGCCAUCAAAAUAAACUAAAAUAUAAUAUAUAAAUCAUUCAAAAUAAACCAAAAACCAAUCAUUCAAAAUUUAAACUACAUAAUAUAUAAAGUCGAUCAUUACAUACCUAAAGACGCACUUUACACUUUCGGAGUGACUUGAAAUCAUCAAUAAUUGAUUCAGAACUAAUACACUCACUAAUAUCCCUUUCAAUGUAAACUGACAUGCUAUUUGCUAAAAACCCAUGUUCCAUCUUGUUUCUCAACUUAGAUUUAAUAAUUUUCAUUGCUGAAAAAGAUCUUUCAGUUGUGGCUGUAGAAACCGGAAGAGUCAUAACAAGACGCAACAACCUAUCAAGCAACAAGUGUUUUUUGGGUUGUCCAUUGGCAGGAACGGCAGCAGCCAAACUUGAGCAUAAUUCUUGAAUAGUUGAUAAAUUUUUCAAAGUUGAUGAUUCACGAGCCUCAAAAAGGAAAUGUUUAAGAUGAAAUGGCAAAUUAAUCUUCUCCUGGUCACUAAAAUCCAUGGGAUAAUAUUUUUCAACAAGAGUACAUAUAGUGUUAAUGUCAAAAGCUUUAUAUCCAUCCUCCGGAGACAAAGCACAACUUAAAGUCAACAAAUCCAUUGCUUGCUCACUAAAUCUGCUAUUCAACUCUUGCAAUUGUUUGUCAAUGGUAGUAAAAAAAAAUUCAACUCUGAAAUAAUGUUCUAUUGUUACCUGAUUCUCUUCAAGGCGAGAACGCCCAAAUCUUGUUGUUGAAUGACAAUCAUUGAGGUCAGGAACCUCAAUAUCAUGUUUUUCACAAAAAGACACGACAUUGGCAAACAACUUAUCCCAACCAUUUUCUCUCAAAUCUUGAAUAAGAGCUUUUGUUGAACGAACCAAAAUUACAGCGUUAACAACAUCCUGAGAUUGUUUUUGCAAGGCUUGACAAAGCAAAUCUGUUGUCCCCAUAAUUUCUUUCAUCAAAUGCAAGAUAAAUAUAAAAUCAAAAGACUUUAGGUGAUUGUAAGAACUAUCAGCAUCCGCACGUUGGGCAAAUUUUUUUGCAUCUUUUGCAAUGAUUUUCAAAACUGUACAAGUUGCUUCAUACAUACUUAUCAAGCUACAAAUAGAGUUGAAAUGUGAUCCCCAACGAGUAUCUCCAGCUCUUUUCACAGUACCAACUUGGUUUUUACCUUUACCAGUUACAAUCUCCCCAGUCUCUAACAAAUUUUCGAUUUCUUUUGCUUGGGCAGCUUGUAACUCAUCAUGGCGCUUAGUAGAAGAACCAACAACAUUGACAACAAAAGUCAGCUUCUUAAAGAAUUUAUGAAUUGAUGCAACUUCUCUUGAUGCAGUAACUAAAGCAAGUUGCAACCGAUGAGCAAAACAGUGGACAUAGUAAGCAUAAGGACAAUCUUUCAUAAAAAGUGCUUGUAAACCAUUCCAUUCUCCUCUCAUAUUGCUAGCACCGUCAUACCCUUGACCACGAAUGUUAGAAACAUCAAGGUUAUGUCGAGAAAGUAUACCACAUACUGCUUCCUUAAGAGUUACGGAAGCAGUGUCAUUAACACGUGCCACAUCAAAAAAUCUCUCUUGUAUCAAACCAGCUUUAUCAACAAACCUUAACACAAGAGCCAUUUGUUCCUUUUUUGACUCAUCACGAGCUUCAUCAACGAUGAUACAAAAUUUAGAAUCACCAAUUUCUUCACAAAUAUGUUUUCUCACCCUACUAGAAAGAAUUUGCAAUAUCUCUUUUUGGAUUUGAUGUGAAGUAUAAUUGCAUUUUUCUGGAGCAUUUUUCAACACAACUUUUAAACUUCAUCAUUGUAGGAUGCUAAAAGUUUUAACAAUUCAAGAUAAUUACCUUGAUUUCUCGAUUUGUUUCCUUCACGGUGACCCCUAAAAGCACAAGCUUGAAUUGUUAACCAACGAACAGUGUCAAUUGAAGUCUUGAGACAUAGUCGAUUAUUCAGAAUUUGACUCGAACUUUGCACUUCAAUAACAUUCCUAAGAUGCCCAUCUUGAUUCAAGAAAUCUUGGCAAGCUUUCAUUGCAUUGUUGUGUGGUGAGCGAGGAUCCUUCCCUAUAUGUUUAAGAAAGGAACAAUUCUCUCCAUUCCUAACUUUCCUCCAACUUCUAAAGCCAGUAGAAAUGAAUACUUCUGAUCCGGGACGUCCACUUGGUUUGUUGCUAAAUAGAUAACAUUGUAAGCAAUAGGCAGCAUCUUCCGACGGCGAAUAUUCUAGCCACGAAGAAAACAAGCUAAACCAACUGUGUUGAAACCUCCUUUGUGCUUUCCCGAUACCGGACAUGGGAUAGUUUUCUAAGUUUGAUUGAUAAGGACCCCAUUUUAGAUAGGCUCUUCGUAUUGCAUCCUUUUGAUUUGGUGGAUAUUGGUAAAUUGGAAUACGUUUUCCUGGAUCCCUUUCUAAAGAAUUUUCAAUGUCAUCCGGAUCAACUCUAUUAAUCUUUGAAGGACGGGACUCAUUUUCUUCGAUUCUUGGAUUCUCAUGAACUUGUUCAGGUUCGGAUGAAGAAAUUAUAACUUCAUCUUUUUGAAUAUCAACGGCCUUCCUCUUGAAAAUAUAAUCGAUUCUUUGAAACUUCAUCUUAACUUUUCCACCUGUUAACAGCAAGAAUCAAACCAACAAUAAGAUUACAAUCAACAAUAGUUUGUAACAGAUCAAAGGGAUUAAGGGAACAUAAUAUUCCAAAGUCUAUUUUAACAGAAUCACAACUAACAGAGUCUCUAAAAUUGAUAAUUGAACUCAAAGUGAACCAACACUUGAAAAAACCAAUAAAUUGAACAAUCAGAGGUAACUAAAAGUGAUUAAAACCAACGAAAAUAUAGAACAAGUUAUCACAACUAACAGAUAACUUAAAUAACAUCAACAAAAAGCUAUACUUUUUCAAAACCAACAAGCAGUUAAAGAGCAUUCAAGAACAUGUAAUCAUCAGAGAAUAAUCAUAUUUGAAGGAAAAUAGAUUCAAUUUCUUAUUACCUUGCAAUUUACAAGAAUUAGGGUUUGUGGAGACUUUAGACAACAGAGAAGAUGGAUGGAGUCAUGGAGAUUGGAGAAGGAGGUGGUUGCAGCGGCGGUUGCGGGCGGUUGCGAUUCGAGCAGUGGCGGCCGCGGAAGAAGAAGAGUUUGGAUGGAGUGAUCAGCGAUUGGAAUUUGGAGAAGAAGGUGGUCGCAGUGACGCAGUGGCGAGAAGGAGGCGGUUGCAGCGGCGGUUGCGGGCGGUUGCGACUGGAGCAGUGGCGGCCGCGGAAGAAGAAGAGUUUGGAAUUGGAUGGAGUGAUCAGCGAUGGAAUUUGGAGAAGAAGAAGAGAAGUCGCGUGUGUUUGUUCUGAACAAGAGAAGUCACGUUUUUUUGUUCUGAAGAGAGAGAAAUAUGCUGACCAAAUGAAAUAUCAGUUGGAAAAUAUUAUUAAUAAGCAAGGGUAUUUUCGUAAUUUCACAAAAAAAAUGGGGUGGCUGUGGCUCCCCCUUGCUACCCCCUGGAUCCGCCACUGGCCGCCGUCGGAGUUGAGCAAACUUCUCCGAUUUUGAAAUUUUUUACAUUUUUAGAUAUCCUUUUUUGUUCUGAACACAAAUAUGGCACUGGAUUUUGCGUGCAAAGCUCGAAUCAACGUAGAUCUGAGAUUCCUUUUCGCGGUUUUGAAAGAAACUUUUUCAAGUUUUUUUUGCUUUUUUCGAAUGGAAUCUUUUAAAACUCCAUAGAUCUACACUUGAUUCGUCUUUGUUGAUGUUCUUGAGAAAGAAAGAUGAAGUUUGAGUUUUACCUGUGAUUUUCGGUUGGAGAUUUCGAAUAUGUUCUUCGGAAAACUUCGAUUUGAUUAUGUUUGUUGAUUUUCUGACUUGAAACCAAAAAUAAAUCGGUGUUCUUCUUCUUCACCGGUUCGACUUUUCUUUCCCUCUUCUUCUUCCUAAAAAAAAAAAGUCUCUGCGAUCGUGUUUGAGUUUGCCGCUUUCAGUGGUGAAUUCACACUUGAAUUGCAGAGCAACACGAUUCAAUGAUGAAGAUUCUUUGAUGAAUCUCUGAGAAUCGAAAAGAAACUGAUGAAUUUGAUGAAUUUUGUGUUGAUUUUCGGUUUUGGAAAGUUAGGGUUUUUUGUGAAUGUUCUUGAUGAUUUUCUGUUUUGAUCUAACUGAAUGGAGAGAGAAAGUUGAAAUUCUGUUUUUGGUGAUGUGUCACUGAUUCUGUGGAUCUGUGCAGAUUUAUGCUAUUUAUAGGCUGCCAUGUGUGUUUCUGGACCAAUGAGAGAAGGCCACCUAUUUUGGACUUAGGGACUUUCCUGCAAAAAUAAGAAAAUUGGAGGACCGGACUGCAAUUAAGAAAAAGGACCUAAAAAUGCAAUUUUAAAAAGUAUUGGACUAAAAUGUAAUUUUAAAAACUGUUUCAGGGACUAAAAUGUAAUUAAAAUAAAAUUGGACUAAAAUUGGUAAUUUGAAAAAAAACGUAAAGUGAAACCAAAAAUAAAAUCAACAAAAGGACUAAAAUGAACCAGUUACAAAAAUGAGGUAUUUUAAAAUACCUCUUUGCCGAAAUUUUGACAGGAAAAGACCAAAAUGCCCCUAGGGACUAAACUGACUCAAACUGACUCAGAUGCAAUUUUUGAAAUGGUUUUAAACAGAGACUCAACAAUGAUUUGCACAGACAAGUUGAAAAGACUCAGAGACAAACACAGGGACUAAAAAUGGGUUCCACUGCAGGAAAUGACCAAAAUACCCUUUUUGUAUGAUUUUUGAAAUAAAAUGCAAGAAAAGUAAUGCAAUGAUUCAGAGAGUUUUCAAAUGACUUAUGAUGCAAGGAAAGACACUUUGGAUGGUUUUAUGCAAGAAAAUCAUGCUUGAACGUACUUUGAGACAGAGACAGUAAAAUAUGCAGAUGAAAAGAGAGUAAAGGUUCAGAGUAAAACAACAGCGAAUUGACAAAUAUCAGUGUUAGAAAAGAAAUUUGAACGAGUAUUUUUAGGUCCAAAAUCAGGGUAUAACAGGUGCCAUCAUAUAUUUUGUUUUGGCUAAAGGCUCAUAUAUUUUGAUGUUCUAUUUUAUUCUAAUAUGAUUCAUGAACAAAAAUCAUGUUACUCAUGAACAAGAUUUAGUGUUACUGUGGAACAAUUAAUUAAUAUUUCAUAUUUUUAUGUCCAAAAAUUCACCUCACGUUUAAUGUACAUUUGAUUGAAAAGUAAAAAAUUGAAAACGAUCGAAUGAAUACGACAGACUGUGGCUAAAUAAUAAAAUUAAUUUAUUUACUAAAUAAACUAAUGUCUUAUAAUACCAAAAUAGACUAAGGAAAAAUUUAUUUUAUAAAUAUACUGAGGAUAUAACGUAUACUAGUAAACAUUUUAUUAUUAUUCACCUUUAUAAAUAAAAAAAACAAUCAUUUUUCUUUAGUAAAUAUAAAAUUUUAUUCCAAAUUAAUUUUUUUUGAUUCCACACGACCGUGUUAUGCUUACACACGACCGGGCGUUGCAAAUUCAACAUCUACUCAGGACCAGUUUCUUUACACACGACUGCGCGUUUUAGAUUAACAUAAAAUUCCAGUGUAUUUUCACACGAUCGUGUCAUUCAUGCACACGACCGUGCGUGUUAUAAUUUUAAGAUGACAACUUUUGAGUUUCAGGGAACUCAAACAAGAACACACACAACAACAUACUUCAAACUUCGUUCUCCUCCAUCGCUUAUCACUUUUAAUUUAAGUCAUCCUACAUUGUCAAAAAAUAUUAAAUUAGUUUAAAACAUUGAUACGAUUAUUGACAUUUCAAAAUAAUACAAUAACACUUUAAUACAUACCAUAGGAACGUUCCAGUCAUCGUUAUUAUGAUCAUAAAAUUCCUCCUCAUGAUUGGAAGUUGAAGAAUGAGUUUCUUGGUGACGGAACCGACAUGACACGCGGUUGUGUCCCUUUCCGCCACAUAUUCCACAUUUAGGCGUACUCCGUUUUUUUUUUCCGCAGUUGCACGUCUAUUUGAAGAACCGGGUGCUGCUCCACCUCUUUUUCUGAGUUGUGCGGAUUACCUAAACUUGUUCCUGUCUUCGAAAACCUAUCAAACAUCUCAUCAACUUCACCCCUGUUGUAUGAUUCCAAUUUCUCAGUGUGUUGUUCAACCAUUUCCAUGGUUUUGUGUAUAUAGUUUGGAUUGCCACACUUUAACACUGCGUUUGCCAUCCUCUUGCAACGCUCCAGAAACAUAACAUACGUAGUUACAAAUGCAGGAUCCCGGUGAGUUGAACUAUUACCAUUUUCGGCAUUGAUUACAUCUUUAGCACGUCUGGUCCAUCGUUCCAACACAACAGAUUCCGGCAAUUUUCUUAUGUUCAUUUUCACUAAAACAGCUACGAUAUGUUCACAUGGAACACCAUAUGUCUCCAAUCUCUUGCAAAAGCAUUCAAAUGUUAAUCGCUCUUGGCAAUAUGAAACAGUCCAAUGAAUGUCAUCUCUAGGGUAUUUGAAAACAAUAUAAUGAAAAAUGGAACCAUUGCAGAAAGUUCCUUCGAUUUUACAACGACAAGCUCUCUCCAAAACAGGCCUAAAUAGCUUGAAAACUGACCUUGUAUAGUUUUUUGCUGCUGAGCUCUCUAAACUUUUAUGUUGGGUUUGUAGAACGGUUUCACCAAUGGAAGAUGCAUAAUCCGCCUCUAUUUCUCUGUAUCUGACGUAACUCAGCCACCGGAUAAAAUGAUUUAAAAAAUCCACCAGAUUUGACAACACGGUAACAUAUUUUCCAAAUUCAGAAUGAAGCCCCUCACACCUUGAGGUUGUUCUAUACCCAACAUAGAAAGUACCCCGAAUGUGGGCAGUUGACCAUUGAUGCCGCUUCUCAUACAGCUCAUGAAUCCACCUGUUAUUUUCCAACUCAAAUUCAGCAACCAAAUUCACCCACCUACUUUCAAACUCUUGGAUAUCAAAAUCACCAAACAUACAUUGUUUGAACUUCGGGACAAAUUUUGGAUUUUUGAUAUUGCUUGAUGCAUUUCUUGCCAAGUGCCAGGCACACAAACGAUGAUGAGCAUGUGGAAAUACACUUCUGAUAGCAUUUCUCAAGGAUAAAUCUCCGUCAGUUAUAACCGACACCGGUGCCUUUCCGUCCAUUGCCUCAAGAAAUUGUUGCAAGAGCCACACGUAACUUACCUCAGUUUCAUCACCAACAAUUGCACUGCCGAAUAUUACACUUUGAUUGUGAUGAUUUACACCGGAAAAAAUAACUAACGAUGUAUUAUAUCUAAUUUUCCGAUAAGUAGCAUCAAAUGCCAAAACAUCUCCAAACACCUUGUAGUCCAUACGGCUAACACCAUCACACCAAAAUAAAUGUUGAAGUGUUCCAUCCUCAUUCACAGUGUGCCUCCAGUACAUCAUAUCGUCCGUCCUAGACAAUUCCUUCAAAAAUUCAACCGCUUUAUUUGCAUCAGAUGUCUUCCUCUCCCUCUCCUUGAAUUGCUCAUUGUAUAUGGUCCUUUUUGAAUAUCCAAGAUUUUUGAAUCCACCAGCUUGUGAGGCAAAAAAACCAUAAAUACGUGACGUAGGAAUGCCAGCUUUUCUCAUUGCUUUCAUUUGAAAUUUGUCAUAAUCACUCAUCUUUCUAUGUGCAGGUAGCAUCCCCUCAUACUUCUCAUCAAAAAAUGUGUGAUUAUGAAUAUCGUCAAACAUUUUUAUGUACCACCGAUUACUACCAUUGUCAACGUGUACUUGAAUUUUUGCCAUACAUCCACACCUAGUAGUUGGCUUGUGCUCUCUUUUUCUUUCACGAGUAUUGAGAUUCCUUGCAUCCCGGAGACCUUCUCUAUGGCAAACAAAGGAUUGUUGAAUAACAUCGCCAUCCUUGUUCUUAACAACGCGACUUCUUCUACCAGCAAAUCCAUGCGCACAACCGUACAUAUUGUAAAACUUGAAUGCAACUACACGAUCCGGAAAAUGGUACAUCAUAAUUUCAUCGUAGGUUAAUUCCUUGAAAUUGAUUUUCUCAAAGUUAGUCGUGCAAUCGACCGCAAAUUCAUCAUCAAAACUGCACUCAUACAUUGAAUUGAACGUGUCUUCCGUAUCAUCAUCCGAGGAACACACAACACUCUCCGAACAAGAGCCACUAUCCAAGUCCAGUAGAAUAUAACAUGGUAAAUAACUUAGUAAUUGAAAAAACAAACGAUCAUAAUUACCAUACGCUUUUCCCUAUUAUAUGCAACUUGUAUAAUAUUUUAUACAAUAACGUAAUCACUAUCACAUACCUCUGAACCUUCUUCACCUAUAUUGCCUUCCCCGGUAAUGUUGCCCAUAUUUGAAACUUGAAAAAUUUCAAGAAUUUCACUCAUAUCCAUUUUGAUGUUCCUAAUGCAUACAUAAAUUGAAUUAGACACAAUCACUUGGAUAGCCAAACACGGAAUGAAAAUAAGGUUGGGUAUACUAUUACAAGGACUUCAGGUAUGAAACCUAAGACUAGUAUUCAACAGCAAUACUUCAUCAUAUCUACCAAGCUUAUACAUACCUUCAACUAUAAAGAUUUAAUAAAUGAACCAACAACUUUAAUAAAUGUAGAUCUAGAAACCAAACUAAGUUGCAAUCUCCAAACUGCAAUGAAAUGUGAAAUAAAAUUGAACAAUGUUGUUGAGGAAGCUGAAAUUUAACUUAAUGUUUAGGUUGAUGGUGACUAACAAUUUCUGAAAAUUUGUACUUCAAUAGAGAGUGUUGUAUGUUAAUGGUACUUCAAUGUGAGAUUAAGUGAAGGAAGGAGGGAGAAAAGGAGACUAAAGUGUUACGGGUACACUGAUCUGUUUGGACCUGAGUAGUGGGUGAAUAACUUAAUUAGAAAAAAAUCUGAAAAUGAAUUAAAUUAUAUGAGAAAUUGAAUGAAUGAUGAAUGUUUAAAUAUAAAAUAUAAAAUAUGUUUUGUUGUUGUAAUAUAAUAAUAAUAAUAUUUAUUUAUAUUGUAAGUCAACGAUGAAUAUACCGUUGAUAUUGAAAUAAGAAAAUAUUAGAUUUAAUUUUAUCAGGAAAUUAAUAAUUUCGUAGGGAACUUCAACGGUACACCCACAAUUUUGAGUGUACCGGUACUCUUGUUGCACAAAAUUUAUAAAUUAACGAUCACUUUAAUGAAAUAAAAAAGUAUUUGUCAAUUUUUAUAUUUUAGAAAACAUCAUUUCAUAAGAAAAACCAUCAUUUCAUUGUUUACAAGGAUUAUAUUAAAAAAUUACAUUUUGUCAUAAAAAAUAAUCAAUAUUCAUUGUUAUGAGUAAUAAAAAUUCUUAAAAAUUAAAUUUUAUUUCGUCAAAGAUUUUGGUAAAGAAAAUUUAAUUAUCUUAGUUGUCAAUGAUAGAAAAUUAUUAUUUUUCUUCAAAAAAACAACUGAAUUAUUAUUAAUUUUACAACUUGGUGUACCGGUACACCCAAAUUCAUUGGUGUACCAUAGAAUUUGCCAAUUUUGUAUUGUACUGAAUGAAAUAAGUAUUUUGUUAAUUAUUUUUAAAAGGAAGGAUUUGUAGUAACACGACCGUGCUAUGGUUUGAAAAGGUCGUGCUUAAAGUGUGUUAUUCCUGGGUUUGAAGUAUAAUUGAUGUUGCGCACGACCGUGCUAUUAGUUGAAACGGUCGUGCCGUAACUUACUGGAAUUUGUUAUGUAAAUGUCUUUUUAAAAACUCACGCCCGUGCAUGUUAAACGCACGGUCGUGUGUAUCUAUCAGGUAGGGUUUUUUCCUGUAUUGCUUACGUGCACGGUCGUGCGUGAAUUUGGCACGGUCGUGUAUUUUCUGGCAUUAUCCAGUUUCAACAACCAUCAUUAGUACAAAAAAAAACAAUGUGUUAUGUUAACAUGCAAACAAGUUAAAGAUCAAAUAUAAUUUACAACAUAAUUAUAAUCGGAUCAUUGUUCAUAACAUACCCUAUGGAAACUUGAAAAGCUCUUAAAGGAGUACUUUCAAAAUGCAGCCAAAACAAAGCAAUAAAGUUGAAUAGGUGUAACUUUAUUAUCAUGGACUGGGGGGGGGGGGGGAUAUUGGAUGUUGAGUUGCCGCAUUGUUGCUGCAAGCAUAUGUUUGACGAGUGCAACCUCCUCAUACGUUCUGUCAACCUUCGCCUCCAUCCUUUGACGCUAAUCAUUGUCAUCUUUUGAACCCUCCGUUGGUUGUUUAUCCUCCCGGUAAUCACCCAUUUCUUCGUCUUUGGUAGGCCCCUCUUUAGGUACCCAGGAAUCUAAAUCUAUAUAAAGCCAAUUUUCCGGAAUUGUUACGUCAGUUCUCGAUGUAUCUGGCAACAAGAUUGAAUCUUCACCGAAUACCAACAAUAUAAAAUUCAUAUUGUUCCCAUCUAGAUCACUUACCAUAUGUAUCUGUUUACAGAAAUCAAUAUCAAUGGUAUAGUUUCCAUCAAUUCCAAUUUCAUGUGUUGCACUUCUUGCUCCCAGCUUCCAAGCUAUGAAACUUACCAACCCCCCCGCCACUAUCUUACCUUUGGGUUGUUCCGCCACAUAUGUCAGAUGGUCUAAUAAGUAAUAGCCCGUGUUUACAGGACAUUUAUGAACCAUAGCCCAUAGAAGGAAUAACUCAUCAGACCUCACUGUUGCAGUUUCCGGCCUACCGAAAAUGGUGCAUGCCAUUACUCUAUGCAAGUAUCGGAAAACUGGGUUUUGUAUCAUGCUGGCCUUGGCAGUUUUACAUUCAUAACGUUUUCGGCCAGUUAUUUGAAACCAAAACCCAUGUUUGUCAUAUCCUCGGUGCCUGGCAUCAUGGUUACGGGAUACAUGAAUGACCCCCGUGCUUUCAAAUCCCAUUAUAUCACUAAAUUCGGUGAGGGACAUGUUGUAUUCCACGUUGCCCAAACUAAAUGAAACAGUGUGGUUUGGGUGUGUGGUAUUGUGUGUAUCAUGAUUAAAAUUGACCGUACUCAAAAAUUCAAAUGUACUCGUUUCGAAGGUGAAAUGCGUCUCCCCCAUGAAAUCUUUCCAGCCAAUGUUACUAAUUAAUGUUGUGACAUUGUCGUCUAUACCCAAUGCCUGUAAAGCUGCUGAAUCGGGAUACCUAUUUGGUACAAUGUCUCUGUUCAAAAGCAUUUUGUACCUUUCCCUCUCAGAUUUGUUUAGAAUAAGUCCCCUCUCAUUUAGUUUAUCCUGUUUCUUCGUUUCGCAAGAAGUGCCGCCAACAUGAACACCCUUUCCCUUAGAAGCCAUUUUUCAAAAUUUCUCUUCCUGUUGAAAACAAAAAAACCAAAAUUACUAGUUAAAUUCUAAAGGGUAGUAGUAACAAUUUUGAUGGAUUAAUUGUACAAAUAUAUUAGUAUUAGUAACAACAAUUAAAAAACCACUUAUAUUUUGACUAUGGUAAAGGUUAUGGGUUCAUUUACAUACUAACACAAGAUUGAUAAGCAACCAAAAAAACCAAAAUAGUGGUAUUUUACAUUUCCUAAUAGCAAUUAAGGAGAAGCCCCUUUUCCAUUUAACAAACAUGCAGGACAAAGAACACCCAACAAAUCAGAAACUCAUUCCUACUCUUAAGAAUAACUAUAACAAAAAUAAGCCAACAAUCAUUAUGAAUAUAAUAAUUUAGCUAUUUCAACAUUCAAUAAAUAGCAUCCAAAUGCAUGCAUGAAAUUAAGUAAAAGAGAUAGAAGAAAUGGAGGUUAAUUACCUUAUACUUAGUGUAGAUCUGGACAGGUUGAGAAUGCUAGUGCUAGUGCUUGGAUGAAGAAGAAGAAUGAAGUAGAAUAACAAGAAGGUUGAGAAUAAUGAACACGUGAAAUUGAUUUGGGGGAAAGGUGUGGUUUUGUGUGUUGUCGAGAAAUCAUUAAUGAUAUAAUGAUUAGAACAUUAAUGAUUAAAAGAUUAAAUUAUUUUGUUAUAUAUGAUUAUAUUAAAUGAGAUUAGGUAUGAUUAAAAAUGAACUUAAUUAAGUUUAAAUAUAAAGGAUUCUUAUUCAAUAAUUUCAUUUAUAAUGUUAAAUGUUAUAAAUGAAAUUAAUAUUAAAGGGAUUUGCUAGAACACACCCAACCAUUUUUAUGUGGGAGUAUUUUAGCAAGUUAUAACUAAAAAGUUAAUAAAUACACCUUAAGGUGUAUGCUGCUAUAACACACCUUCUAACAAAAACAAGUGGGUGUGUUUCUAGCAAACCCCAAUAUUAAAUGAUGCCAUAGUAAAAGUUAUAUACAGGUGAAGUUGAAAAAUUAUCGAACGCGCCCCAUGUGGCUAAUUGGUAAAGAAUGUGUCCUUAGGAGGUGGAGGGUUUGGGUUCAAUUCCCACCACUGAAAACCCCUCCUUUUUUUUUUUGUUAUUCUUUUUCAUUUUGACAGGAUGUCUCCUUUUGUAAGGAUAUAGACAGGUGAAGUUGAAAACCUAACGAAUGUGCCCCAUGUGGCUAAUUGGUAACGAAUAUGUCCUUAGGAGGUGGAGGGGUUGGGUUCGAUUCUCACAACCAAAAACCUUUUUUUUUUAUUCUUUUUUAUUUUCGCAGGAAUUCUCAUUUUGGGGACCAUUGAUGUUUGGCACGGUCGUAUCAUUUUAAUGCACGAUCGUGUUUAAUAACCAGGAGUUAUAACGUUUGAUUCUAGUGAAUAUACGCACGAUCGUGCCUAAAUUUCAGGUCAAUGUUUUUUUAUUUUUUGUUUUUAUCUAAAGUUUUUAAUAUAUAUUACCAAUGACAAUAGGACAACACAUGUGGGGUACUGUUUGUUAAAAAAUUGGUUGAGUGAGGGACCAUCCAAUUUAGGGAAUCUCUGAGAUUGAAGUUGAAAGACAUAUGCAUGCCAACAUGAAAAGCAUUCAAAAAGCAAAUGAAUGUGAAUCUCUGAGAUUGAAGUUGAAAGACAUAUGCAUGCCAACAUGAAAAGCAUAAUGUGCUAUCCAAUCAAUAAAAACCUUUAACCUAUAUUAUAAAGUCAUGAUUUAUUUAUGUCAUUUUGGAAAAUAUUAGCACAAUAUUUCUAUAAAUAGUUUCAAUCACACCCUUUGAGACUUUAGUGGAAGAAAAUACUCUAGCCAAAAUACUUUCUCUCUAAACUCUAUAAGCUGUACUCCCUUUUUUUUGAAAGAAAGAAUACUCUCUCAAAAACUUGAACACCUACAAACUCUACAAGGUGUGAAUAAGUUUAGUGUGAUAGAUAUAAUUUUUUUUUCCUUCAAGAUUUUUAGUAUUUUGAUGAAGUGAAACUUAUAAUGAAAAAAACAAAUAAACUUUUAAGAAGACUAUUUUUUUUAGGAUAGAUGUUAGUUUUACAUGUUAUAAUUAAUUUUUAGGAUAGAUGUUAGUUUUAGAGUAGAUUUACAUGACUAAUUUUUUUUUAUUUUAGUAAGAAGACUAUAUGAUUUAUAAUUUUAGGGUUAUUUUUAUGAAUUUAAGAGUCAAUGUAUUACGUGCACAUCAAGUGUUUGACGAAAUGUUUGAAUAAGUUUUUUAUUGAUUGUUUUUUGUUUCUUAUUGUGUAGAUUUAAAACAAUGGCCGGGUGGAUCAACGUUCAUACGCAAUUCAACGGGGGAGAAGCUCAGAGACACAACGAUGGUGGAACACGUUUGGUAUGCGGGUGAAGUUGCUUAGAUCAACUUAAGAUAUCAUCAAAAGUUUGAUUCCACCAUAAAAUCGUCCUUAGUUAGGAUAAGGUGCAUUCCAACUACAACAAUUGUCUUCCUUUGAAUGGGGUAAUUCAAACUUGUCAAACAACAGGACUCGAGCAUUUCGCAAGUACCUCAUGUUUCUCCUUUGAAAAUAUUAAAUUCUUGUUAUGCUGGUUUAGAUGAAGGUAUUAAUUGUCAAGGAUUGAACCUCAAUUCGGUGGCACUUGAAUACCAUCAUCUAAAGCAAGCCUAACAAAAAUUUAUUCUUUUCAAAGGGAAAACAUGAAGUGCUUGGCAAAAUGCUUGAGUCCUGUUGUUUUCAAGUUUGAAUUUAUCUCAUUCAAAGGUAACACAAUUGUUGUGGUUGAAAUGCACAUUCCAACUGCAACAAUUGUCUUACUCUGGAUGGGGCAAUUCAAACUUGCCAAUCAGCAGGACCCCAAUAUUCGAUCAGCAUCUUGAACGCCAGUAUUCAAGUGUCAAGGAAUGCACCUCAUUCUUUUGACACUUGAAUACCACCGUUCAAGAUCCUGAUCGAAUACUGGAGUCCUGCUGCUUAGCAAGUUUGAAUUUGCCCCAUUCAGUGGUAAGAUGAUUGUUGCAGUUGAAAUGUAAAUUUCGGAAUGUAAUGUAAUGUCUAAUGCAAUGUAAUGUGAUAACAUAUAUUUUGUUUUCAAUGGAACAAUAAUUAUCUUAUUUAUUCACUUUUCAAAUUUAAGGACAAUGCCAAAUGUGGGAACAACAAUUCUCUAACUUUAAUAUCAAUUGAAGGACAAUGCCUGCUUGAAGGUGUUGUUGGGAGUGUUAAUAUGCAACACGAUCGUGCACUGCUUAUUUUUUCAAAACAUUAUAUUAUAGGUUAAUGUCAAUUCGUUUUUGUGACGAAAAACUACUCAUUUACUCUAUUAGACUAAAAGAAGAAAAAAAAAUUAAAAAAAAACGGCCUAAUAAGUAAUAUAUACAUGUGAACUUAAUUACUUAUCGAACGCGUCCCAUGUGGCUUAUUGGUUAAGAAUGUGUGCUUGCGAGGUGGAGGGUUUGGGUUCGAUUCCUAGAUCCAACACUUUUUUUUUAAAAUAUCAUUCAAUAAUGACACGACCGUGUCAUUAACGAACACGGUCGUGCUCGAUGUUACUUUAUCAGUUCCCAGCCAAACCGCUCUUCAUUCAAACAAACACUCUUUCAAAUUCUCUCAAAACCUAAACCUCCAUUAACCUAUCAAUCAACUUAUUUCCCAACCCAAUCUCAGUUUUUACUUCUCAAAACUUCAAUAAAUCUUAACAAAAACAACAUCAACCACCAAGUUUGCCACAUUCAUUUCCAAACCUCCACAAAACUCAUCCAAUCAUCAUAUAAAUUCCCAAAUUCGUGUGGUCAAAAAACCUAACUCAAAACCAACGAAAUUGAAGAUUAAACAAGACCCAAACACAAACCCUCAUCCCCAAACACUAAACCCAACAUAAAUUCAUCUUUCCACAACCAAAAUUUAAGGUCAAAACCCAACAAUCUUCAAAACCCAUAUUUUGUACCCUUUUGAGAAUUUAAAAAAUGGCAAGCAAGAGAAAAGAAGGUGUUGAUGACGCUUCAUCUGAUUUAAAGAGGAAAAAAGUUGUUGAUGAUGCUGGCUCUUCGGACGGAAGGAAGAAGAAGGGUAAGGCUAAUGAGCUUGGGAUUAUCCUCAAGAAAUCGGAGGAAAGGGAGAGGUACAACAAACUCGCUGCAAGGGGAAUUGCAUUCAGCAGGUAUCCCGAUAAAACAACGUUAAAUACAUUAGGUAUGAUAGAAAAUGUUAGACUUCUGGCUAAAAACAUAGGAUUGGAGAGAUUAUUAGGGCAUAUGCACUCCACAUAUAUACACACUACCCUAGAAUUCCUUAGUACGCUGUGUUUUACCAAAGAUAAAUUGAAUAUCGAUGAACCACAACACACUGUGUCAUUUAGCUUGAAUAACAUAGAGUUUAGCAUGACCCUACCUGAGUUUAACGAACGGAUGGGUUUCCCUACCACGGGAUUCAUCCAAGAUUCUCGUAACCCAAAUACUAGGCCUGAUAAUUAUGACUCUGAUGAAUUUUGGCUUAAAAUAUCCGGGAGGACAAAAUUUGUGGCUAGAUCUGCUAAAGCUAGUUCAAUCCACAACCCUGUUUUCCGCUACAUUCACUGGGUUAUGGCUUGCAGCUUAUUUGGUCGGAAGGAAACGGGUACGGUUAGGACCGAUGAACUUUUCUUUUUAUGGGCUAUGGUUAACAAGUGUCAGGUAGAUGCGGGAUACUAUCUUUUAAGCCAUAUGGCAUAUGUUGCAACACAGGAGGCUGGUCUUAUUGUGGUCGGGGGGCCAAUCGAUUACAUUGUAAGGAAGUUAGGAAUAAAAUAUUAUUCUGACCAACCUCCAAUGAAGGAUUACAAGGGAAUUGAGAUUGAUACGCUAAUUCAGAUGAAAAUGAUUAAGGAAGUAAGUGGCGGGAGGAGAGAACAAUUUCAAUUGAGGGUUGAUAAACAAGACGCGUUUCUAUUGCCAAAUCCAGAGAGGACUGACACAUCCAAUCCAGCAAAUUGGAUUUAUUCUGAUUUAGAUCCACAAGUUGCAGAAGAGCAACAUCUUGAAGACGACACACCGGCUGCUGACCAAGUGGAACAUCAACCACACCCGGUGGUUCAAGAUGACCAGGAAUGGCGUACAAGGAUAGAGGAUGAGGUUCAAGCGACAAGGUCCGAUUUUCAAGAGAUGAGACUAUGGCAGCAAAGGCAGGUUCAAGAUGACCAAGAGUGGCGUGCAAGGAUGAUGACUGAGGUUGAAGGUACAAGGUCUGAUGUUCAACAGAUCAGGCAGGAGCAGCAAAGGCAAGGACGUAUUCUUGACCUAAUGAUGCAGCGCCUUAACAUUGAUUAACCAACCUCCCAGUGGAUUGUAAUGAUGGGAGAUAUAGGUUAUUGCUUCUUAGAUCUGUUUGGUUUGGCAACAAUCGUGUCUUUCUUUUAUUUAAUUUUAACGUCUACUCUAAAACUGUUUUGUUGGUUUCAAUUUGAAAAUGCUCUUGCGAGAGUUGUAAUAGUAAUGCACUUUUAACAAAGUACUCUUUUAUUUCUGUAUAAGUUUGAUUCAAGUUUCACUGUGAACAAUGCUUUUGUAAUAUUAAUUACAAUGUUACCUAUCUAUCUCUGUGUGUGGGUUCGUAAUUUAAUUGGUAAUGUAUGAGAUUACAUAUAAAGGUUUGCCGUUGUCGUAAUCUAUGAUUGUGUUGGUUUAGUAUUCUAAACAAUUCAUACUUGUUUGUGAUAUAUAAUGGAAGUAAACAUGAAUCAUUUAAUAUUGUGUUACAACUAGAUCAUGUUCAAGCUUCAAAUGUGUGUAAUGCAGUGAGCACGACCGUGCCAAUGUUACACACGGUCGUGCAACAUCCACUUCAACUGAAAAUAUGUGCCAGUGCAUACUGACACGACCGUGUUAAACAAAGAAUGACCGUGCUUCCAUAUGACCAACAAUUUUUUUUAAAUCAGUAUUAUCAGCACGACCGUGCUCAUAAUACACACGACCGUGCUAUGUAUGCAGUUCAAAAUCUAUCUCAUAAAAACUACCCUAAACCAUCCAUAUUUACUUCCAUUAUGACAAGCACGACCGUUUCAAUAUUAAGCACGACUGUGUUUGUGAUAAAAACUUUAAAACCAACAAAUCACCAGUGAGUUUAGGCACGGUCGUGCAAUAAAUAAGCACGACCGUGCACUAUACCAGAAAACAAAAAAAUCAACAAAUCACCAUUAUUGGCUUCUUACUCACUUUCAUUUACCAAAAACUUACUCAGACAAUAAUAAUUUAUUCUUUCGGUUAUGCUAUCUAACACUCUUUUAUUAGUCAACAACAAUACUAUACGACACCCAACCAUAUAGCAUAAUAAAACAUUUAAAAUGAUAAACUAAAUUUUAUUCAUACCUUUAAAACGUAAAUGAAUCAAGAUCUAUAAACCAAACUAAGCAGAAAACUCCAGAUCAAUAAACGAGACUGAAAUAAUGUUGCACAAUUUUGUUAAUGAAGAAGAACUUUAAGUUAAGCACAAAGGAGAAAGGAUGUCUGGAAAUGUCAAAAAUAUGGGUGGCUAUGGAGAUGAAGAAGAAUGUUAAGCAUGAAGGAACCAGACGACGACAAGAAUAUGAAUAGCAAAUACUAUUAAUAAAUUCAUCUAAAGAAGACCCAGGGCUAAGCCGCCGUGCUUCCACCGUAUCCCUUGUUUUGUUCGGCGAUUUGGACUCCAAGAUCAAUUUGUCUUAUCAUUCAACCUACUCAUUAUUCAUGUGGCGUUGCUUCAUAUGUUAAUAUGGGUUAGAUCUCUCCAUCGAUUGUUUUCCCCUUCACAUAUAGUAUUCUUUGUGCAUCUUCUCCAUCUUGCCACAGUAAUUCCAAUUGAAUUAGGAAUUUAGUACUUUUAUAUCAAAAAGUAGGAUACAUCCUUUGAAUUCAAGAAUUUGAUCUUUUUGGUAGAACGUGUAUUUUUAUGAUUGCCUUCUCUCCUAGGGUUAGUAGCAUCGCCGCUGUUCAUCCCUCGUGAGUGUGUUGUUGUGGUUCGGUAGGUCAUGUCUUACCUGAACAUUUGCUCUGCUUUAUGCCAUUCCUGUGAUAAUGUUCCUUAUAUGAGUCCUUCAUCAUCAAUUUGUUUCUUCUAUAAGGCCUGCCAAAGAAUAUGAGCCUAGUGGCGUGGAAUUGUCGGGGUGUAGGUAGCCCGAGUACAAUUCCCGACCUUAAGUACCUAGUUCGGCAUUUCAAUCCGGACCUUUUAUUUUUAAGUGAGACUCUAGCUCACCGAAAUAAAAUUGAUGAACUUCGUUUUCUGCUUGGCUACGAUUGUUGUUUUCCUGUAGACCGCACCGGUAGAGGCGGGGGUCUUGCAUUAUUUUGGCGUAAUUCUUUACAUUGUCAACUUGUUGAUUUUUCGAGUAAUCAUAUUACUGUUGAGAUAAAUGAUAUUGUUCUUGGUACUUGGAGACUUACCGGCUAUUAUGGCUAUCCUAAUGGAGGUCGUACAACUACCGCUUGGAAUUUUCUUCGACAACUUUCUCAUCAAUUUACAGGUCCUUGGUGUAUCUUUGGCGAUUUUGAUGAUAUCCUUGAUGCAAGUGAGAAAAGGGGGCGCACCACUAGACCUCCGUGGCUUAUAAACGGGUUUCGUCAAGCUGUUAUUGAUUCAGGUUUGUCUGAUGUUCCAAUUGAAGGUUAUCCAUUUACUUGGUUCAAAAGUCUAGGCACUCCGCGUGCCGUGGAAGAAAGAUUAGAUCGUGCGCUUGCUAACAAUUUGUGGUUUAAUAACUUUCCGAAUGCUACUGUUGAAACUUGGUAGCACCUGCUUCUGAUCAUUAUCCCAUAUAUGUAAAUGUUGCUCCUACUCCUCGGCCUCAUGUCUCUAAACGUCAUUUUCGUUACGAAAAUGCAUGGCAUCUUGAACCGGGUUUUAAGGAUCUUGUUACUAACUCUUGGCAGGAAUAUUCUACCCAUACUAUUAUUCCGAAGCUUUCCUCUUGCGCGGAAGACAUGUCUGUUUGGAAAAAAUCACAUUGUCAUAAGUUAAAAACUGAUAUUGAAGAUUGUCGUAAACAAUUGCAGGAAACUCGGUUAGGAUCUGCUGGCGAGGACCAAGUUCGCAUGUUCGAGCUAAGGAAAAGAAUGCAACGGCUGCUGUCCCAAGAUGAUGCUUAUUGGCGUCAACGCGCAAAAACCCAUUGGUAUAAGGAUGGCGACCGUAAUACCAAGUUUUUUCACGCUUCGGCUACGGCUCGAAAGAAGGUAAAUCGUAUAACUUCUCUUGAUGAUGAUGCGGGUAAUAAAAUUACUAAUGAGCAGGAUAUGCAAGAAGUGGCAAGACAAUAUUUUGUAAAUAUUUUUCAACAACAUAAUAGUGAUUCUUCUUCCGUUAUUGAUGUUAUUAAUCCGUCUAUUUCUGAUAAUGACAAUGAAAUGCUCACGGCCCCUUUCUCUAAGGCAGAGUUUAAGGAUGCUAUUUUCUCUAUGCAUCCAGAUAAGUGUUCAGGCCCAGAUGGCUUCAAUCCGGGUUUUUACCAGCACUUUUGGAAUUUAUGUAGUGAUGAUAUUUUUAAAGAAUGCUAUGGUUGGUUAGAUACGGGACAAUUUCCCCCUGAUUUGAAUAUUACUAACAUUGCCCUUAUCCCAAAAGGUUCUAAGCAGGUUAGCAUGAAGGACUAGCGCCCUAUAACACUUUGUAAUGUGUUAUACAAAAUCAUUUCGAAAGUGUUAGCAAAUCGGUUGAAGAAAGUGCUGCCUAAAUGCAUUUCCGACAAUCAAUCCGCCUUCGUCCCAGAACGCUCGAUUUUAGAUAAUGCUAUGGUAGCAAUUGAGGUUUUACAUUUUAUGAAAGCCAAGACGCGAGGGGAAGACAGGUAUGUUUCUCUAAAACUUGAUAUUAGCAAAGCCUAUGAUCGUAUGGACUGGAAUUAUUUGAGGGCUGUUUUGAAUAAGAUGGGUUUUCAUAACCGUUGGAUUCAUUGGAUGUGUAUGUGCGUCGAAUCAGUGGAUUAUUCUGUGCUUGUAAAUGGUACACAGGUCGGUCCUAUUAUUCCAGGGCGGGUUCUUCGUCAAGGGGAUCCUCUCUCUCCGUACUUGUUUAUUAUUUGUGUAGAAGGUUUAUCUUCGCUUAUCAGAGAUGCCGAGACAAGAGGUGUCCUCACUGGUACAAAGGUUUGUCGUCAAGCACCGUCAGUUUCUCAUCUUUUAUUCGCUGAUGAUUGUUUUCUCUUUUUCAAAGCUAACGAGGAUCAAGCACAUGUUAUGAAGCAUAUUCUAUCCACUUAUGAAUUAGCUUCUGGUCAAGCGAUUAGUUUACUAAAGUCUGAAAUAUAUUGCAGUCGUAAUGUUCCUGAUGACCUCAAAGCUAACAUUACAGAUAUUCUAGGCGUCCAACUUGUGUUGGGCACAGGUAAAUAUUUGGGCUUACCUUCUAUGAUAGGUCGCGAUCGAAAUGCUACUUUUGCUUACAUCAAGGAUCGUGUUUGGUAGAAAAUCAAUUCCUGGAGUGGUAAGUGUCUCUCUAAAGCAGGUCGAGAGGUCAUGAUAAAAUCUGUUUUGCAGGCUAUUCCUUCUUAUGUGAUGAGUAUCUUUCAGCUUCCCACUACCUUACUAGACUCCAUUGAAAAGAUGAUGAGCUCCUUCUGGUGGGGCAACGGUAAAACAACACAAAGAGGGAUUCAAUGGAUGAAUUGGGAGAAGCAUUCAGCACCAAAGAUUCACGGAGGUAUGGUUUUCAAGGACUUAUCUGCUUUUAAUUUGGCUAUGUUAGGUAAACAGGGAUGGAAAUUUAUUACAGAACCAGAUUCUCUGGUGUCUCGAAUUUUUAAAGCUCGUUACUUCCCCUCUGGCUCCUAUCUCACGGCCACUGUUGGGCACAACCCCAGCUAUGUUUGGCGCAGCAUCCUGCGUGCUAGAUUUAUUGUGCGUGGGGGCGCUAGAUGGAGUGUAGGCUCAGGCGCGGCUAUUCCUAUUCUUAAUGAACCAUGGCUGCCAAAUGGGGAGUUUAUUAGUAGUGAUAUUCCAGGUGCUCACUUUGUUCAUAAUUUUACUGUUAACAGCUUGAUGAAUUUAUAUGAUAAAACCUGGAAUGAACAGGUGGUUAGACAAGUUUUUAGUGAUGAUAUAGCCCACAAAAUACUACAUACGCCAUUGAUUUCUCAGGUUGACGAGGAUAUAAUUCUAUGGAAAGCGGAAAGGCACGGACGUUACUCUGUUCGUAGUGCUUAUAGGUUAUGUAGUGUAUCAGAACUGAUUGAUUCAUCUUAUAACUGGCGACCAGGGUAUUGGUUUGGUAUUUGGAAUCUAAAAGUCCCACCGAAAGUCAAGAAUUUAAUUUGGCGCAUGUGUCGGGGUUGUUUACCGACUCGUGUCCGUUUGUUGGAUAAAGGUGUUAAUUGCCCAACUAAUUGCGCUAGUUGUGCCUCCAAUCAUGAAGAUCUUAUGCAUGUUUUCUUUGCUUGUCCUUUUGCUAUACAGGUUUGGAAUAGAACAGGUCUUUGGGGUUCGGUGCAACACGCCCUUUCUACCACUGCCUCAGCUUCAGAAGCUAUAUUUUCUCUGUUAGAGACUUUGUCGGUUGAAUUAAAACAACGUAUGUCAUCUGUAUUAUGGAGUAUAUGGAACCACCGUAAUCUCAGAGUGUGGGAUGAUGUAACAGAAACAAGUGCCGCGGUUGUCGAGCGUGCUAGAAACAUGCUUGCAGACUGGCAACUGGCUAAUGCUCCGGAUGUUCUUGUAUCUAGAUCGAAUCAUCAACCAACAACGGCCUCCACCUCUCAACAACACCGAAUCACGUGGCAGCCUCCUGUGGCCGGAAGAUACAAAUGUAACAUCGAUGCGGCCUUCUCUUCUCACGACAACCGUACAGGUAUUGGUAUUUGUGUUCGCGAUGCAGAAGGUACGUUUGUUCUGGCUAAGACUAUGACAUACCCUUGUACUGUUCCGGUGGAAGUGGGUGAAGCUUUAGGGCUGCACUCUGCUUUGCAAUGGUUGAGUGAUAUGCAGUUUGACAAUGUGGAUUUCGAAACAGACUCUAAGUUGACAGCUGAAGCCUUCCUUUCUACUAGAAACGACUUGUCCGAAUUUGGAUGCAUUAUUUCCUCCUGUCGUUCUUUGUUCAGUACUUUCUUUUCUAACUCUAGGGUGGAGUUUGUUAGGCGACAAGCCAACGUGGUUGCUCAUGCUCUUGCAAGGGAGGCCACGUCUUUAGCUAGUCCCGCCGUUUAUUUUAAUAUACCCAAUUGUAUUGAAACUCUUAUUAUAAAUGAAAUGCUAUAAGCAUGUUUUCCUUCAAAAAAAAAAAUGUUAAGCAUGAAGGAGAAGGGAAACAAAGCUAAAAAUGAUAUAUUCUGGUGUGUCACUAGUGAAAAGAGUUGAAUUACUACUCUCCAUGUUUCAAUUUUAGUAGGGGGUGUAAAAGUUAUUGCUGAUAACUGGUUGCUUUUUAGGGGGGUGUGAGCAGCAGAAACAAUAAAUGAAUAUUUUACAAUAUAAUAUGUUUCAUUAAAAUAUUCCAGCAGGUAUGAAACCGCCAGCUGUCCUUCCAUGGGAAAAUUGUGCAUGGUGCACAAAUCUAUCAUUUGUGCAUACUAAAUGCCACCACCAUUUAUACAAUGACAUCAUAAGUUCAGUCCUCUCAUAACAUAAUUUCUUAUUCUUUCUUAUCUAAACCAAAAUUUUGAGGAAGAAAACAACAUAAAAAAAAAAAAAAAAAAAAACACAUAAAAGAAACCUCGCCAUAAGUAAAAUUGUCAAAAUUUGUUACCCCAAGAAUGCAUGAUGUUUAGUCAAUCUGUCGAGUUAGAAGUAACAAAUAAAUGUCAAUAACUGUAAAACUGCCUCCUUAACAGGGAACUAUACAAUUCAAACUGAAAAGUAACUGUUAGACUGAAUUGAAUCUUUUGCCUCGGAUCCUUAACUUAUGUCCCUAAAUACUACUUCAUUAAUGUCAUUCUAGGCUCCCUAGUGUUUCUUUUUGUUAAUAUGCUUUUGAGAUUUGUUUAUCCCUAAUCACAAGACAUUAAUUAAAGAAUGUUACGUAAACCAAUGAAGUAAAAGCACAAAGUUUCUAUUCAAAGGUUCAAGUUCAACCAAGCAUGCACACACAUAGUAUAUAUUAAUUGGUAUAUUCCUUAUCCCGUUUUCAUUAGUUUUCCAAUGUUUUCAUUUUCUUCCACGUGAUUCACUUUAAUUUCAAUCUUCUUUUACUUUCCAUGCAACAAAAUUGAAGAAAAGGGAAAGAAAGAAAGUACUAUAAUACAAAGAGGGGGAAAGGUUCAAAGUGCAAUCCUACAAAGAUCAACGAUGAGAAGGGACAUGCACAUACAUUAAACUAUACAAGUGUUACUUAAGAAUCAUUCCUUUGAUUAUUAUUUUAGGAUAUCAUCAUAAUUUUAAAUUUAUUUUGAAAUAAAUAAAAUUAGAGGUCUUAGCACAUAUAGCAAUAUGCAGCCAUUUAUUAACAAUUAUAUUAGAGGUCUUUUUAUCGCCAUUUUUUCAACUAAUCAUUCUAUGAGUGGGAGAUCCAUCCCGUCAUGUGCUAGAUUCGAUAUAGUCUUGUGGAAGUGUUUGUAUUCGGCCUCGAUGGAUUUAGGUUGUUUAGCAUCAUAUCAUGUGGUUCGUGGCCGCCUAAUAUUUGGGGAUUCUCUGAGUUAAAUAUUUCUGGUAUUUAAUCCGCUCCUCUUGUAUGAUUUUCUUCUAUUAUAUAUAGGAGAAUGCUAACCAGUGCCACAAGGGUAUUGGUUAAACAUUCAAAACAAGUAAGUUUUUAUGAAAAAGUUGUGCAAUAAUUAUUUGAUCAAAACCAAUAUCUUAUAUUUCCAAGACAAAAUUUCUAUUUGUAGAUUCCUUAACCAUUGCUCUGAGGCACUGUUUAGCAAGACCCUUUUAUAUAUAUAGGCAUCAACAAUAUUUGGCUUCCUAAGUAAGGUAUUUCACAACAUUUUCAAAGAAAUUUGUACAAGGGCACGAAGGUUGUUAAAAUCGCGAUCUAACACCCAAGAUCGUACGAUCUUGCGAUUCCGAUGGCCAUCACCGAUCUGAAGCGGUUAGGAGAUCGGAAACGAUAGCGGAGCGGACGGCGCGCCGAGGAAAAUCGGAAGAUUGCAAAAUCAGCGCUCUUCUGCAUUUUCUGCAAUGGUUUUCGACCCGGUUCAGAGGUUGAUGGCCCGACCCGGAUUUGUGCCUUUGAUAACUACGAUUAGCAAUAUAACUACGAUUAGCAUUAUAGCAAUUGAGAGAAUAUGACAUGAUAUAUUAUGCUAAAGAAAGAGUUGUGUGAGGGGGUAAUAAAUAAUUAAUGAUAACAAAGGUGGUGAAAAUAAUCUGUUUGUAGUUGGUCUGAAAAGGGAAAAGACAGAACUUUGGGUGAAACCCCAAAAACAGCAACACAUAACAUAAUAUAAUUAUAUCACACAGUGGUCCACUCCAUUUCAUCACUGACUGACACUCCCAAUCCAUCAAAGUGUUAGUCCAACCUCAGUAGUAUCACUGAUCAAUAUGACUCUCUCUCUCUCUCUUUCUCUGUGCAAUAUCUAUGGCAAAUGCAAAGUUAUCAACAGUAGAAUCUGUGACUGCCCUUGUCUGCAUGUCUGUCUCUCAUCUGCAGUCACUGAAUACUCUUGACUACCGUCCUUAACCUUCGUCACUCUCUCACUCUCACUAUCACAUGAAAAAUAAAGUAUCAUCUAAAAGAAAACCUCCUUUAUUUUCAUAACACUGCCACUUCUUGCAUUUAAUGCAAGAACCUUAGCUUUCAUUUCACUGUUUGUCUCCAUCUUCUUCUCACACUCCUUUUCUCUCACUCAUACUCACAUAACAGACAAAACUUCACUUCAUUCUAAUAAUAUAAUAUACUCCAUUCAUGCAUUAAUCAUUCAUUCAUAUCUUAUAGUCAUCUCUAUCAAAAACAAAUUAACUCACUGUAGCUGACGAACUAGCUCACUCUAAAUCUCUAUUAGACGUACCUGAGAAAUAUCGGGUUUGAUUCUGAGGGGGAAUAAUACUUGGCCAGUGCGCAUGCCUCUACGCAUGAGUUGGAUUAGUCGCUUAUCUUUGGUAGGUCAGAAAUCGAUGCGAAAGCAAAAAAAAAAAAAAAAUCUCUAUAGUUAAAGUUGGAUUCUCAUAGUCAUCAAUUGUACAUAUUCAUGCAACAUAAUAUUCUAGCAGUCAAUAUAUUGUUGGCAGUUACAUCAAGAUUGUUCAAAUUUUAAAGGGGACUAAAGUUUUUAAAAUAUACAAAUACUAAAUUUAAAAUCCAACAAUGAUCGAUGUGUUAAUUGUGUAAACAUGUGAAAUGUAGAGAAUUAGAAAUCGUAUUAGUCAAGAUUUCAAAUCCGUUAUAAUCUUACAUAAGAGUCAUAGCUGAUGCCUGAUAGCAUGAUAUAACGUGUUUUUCGGAAUUAAAACCAUGGUAUUAGUUAUUAUAGAUUAAAAACCAAAAACCAUUCGAUCAAUGUUAUCAUUAUCAUCAUCAUCUUCAUAAUUUUCAUCUCCUUCAAAUUCCUCAUCAUAUUCAUCACCUAACAACACUUCUUGAUCUUCACAACUCUCGACGGUGUGUGGAGCAUGACCAUCACCGAAAGCACGAACAUGAUCUUUAAGAGAUCUCUUGUGUUUGAAAUCAGAUCCACAGAUACAAAACCAAAGCUUUCCACAGUUUUUCUCAUGUGUUCUCCAGUCACCUCUAACUGCAAAUGGUUUCCCACACUUUCUACACCCAAAUGGCUUUGCUCCAUGCUUCCUCUUGUAGUGUGUUUGAAGUGUUCUGAAAUCCUUGAGUGGCCUUGACCUUGGAUGCUCUAUGUUGUUCUUGCAUCCCUCUGCACAGCAAUAGCAAGGAAGUCUUAACAUUGAUGAAGCUGGUUUUACUCCUCUUAGAGAUUCUGGUCCUUUUCUGUAUUGUGAUCCAUGUCCCCACAUAUGCAUCUGAUAUAUACAUAAAUGCAUUACAUUCAAAUAGUUCUUUAUAGUUAAGUGCAAAAGAAAAUGACAAAAUUUUGUGCUUGGAUCUGUUAUCUUCUAGGUUUGUAUUUCUUUGUUAACAAAUUAAUGAGUCUUCUAGGUUUUUAUCUUAUAGUAUGCAUUAGGACAUGGAAAGAGUAUUAACAAAUUUUCUGGUGCUAACAAAUUAUCCAGUUCUUGACAAAUUUUAUGGUUCUUAACAAAUUAACCAAUAACCACUAAUAUUUGUCUAUAACAAAAUUGUUAAUGAUUUGAGAUGGUAUUAGGUAAUGACAAAAAAAAAUAAAAAAAUUCACUUAUUAAUUCUGUAAUAAAUGCUUAUGAAUGUACCUUGAACUACUACUAGCUAGGCAAUAGACAGUUUAGGCAUUGUAUAUGCUACAGUGUGAAAGGUUACAUGUUGACUAACCUGCAUAUUAUUGAAACGGUUGAACAUUUUAUUGCACACUGUGCAAGAGAACUGUGUUGGUCCAAUGAGGAUUUGAGCAGGUGAAGGAAUCCAAUAUUGACCUUGAAUUGGAGCUGAAGCCAAAUGAUGAUCAGGUUUACUAAUAGGUGUUAUGUUUUGUGAAAUGUUUGAUGGAAGACCAAUGUGAAGUGCAACUGUUACACCACUUUGCUCAUCAUCAAUGGUAAAGUUUUGGUUUUGGAGGUGAUUAUGAUGAUGAUGAUGUUGAUGAUGAAGUUUAGGUUUGUGGUGUGUACCAGGAGGGCCAAGUGAGAGUGAAAUGGAAGACUCAUCAACAGUGUCAUUAUUAGUUUGAAUUGAGGAUAUGUAGGAGAAUGUGUGAGCUUGCAUGGUGAAAAUUAUGGUUGAUGGGAUGGUGUAUGUAUAUUAUAGGAGAGAGUAGGGUUAGAGAGUGAGAGAGACAGAGAGAGAGUUUUUUGAGUUAGCUUUGUUAUGUGAGAUUGGAAGUGGGGACGAGAAAGGCAAUAUAUAAAUAAACAAACCUUGUGGAUGGAUCCAUGUUUUUUGGCUUUUGUCAUUCUAUGUGUCAGGUUAAUUGAAUAAAAGAGAUGAUUUCUCAUUCUUUAACAAUAUUGGAAAACACUCAAUUUUCAUAUUUGUAGAAGAUAUGAUGAUAACGAGUGAUCUAUAGUGAUAUUCAUCAAUUGUAUACUUCUUAUUUUAAAAGUUAAUUUUGUAAGGUUGUGUUAGACUUAGAAAAAUACGUCUCGUGACCUUAGCUCAGUUGGUAAGAACAAUACAUAAUAUAUGCAAGGUCUGGGGUUUAAUCUUGGCCACCAUAAAAAAAAAAAAAAAAUCAUAGAAUAAUGCAAACCUUAUAUUACAAUGAGGUAAAGAUUUUAUUUUAGUUUUUUAAAUCAGGUGUCCUCCGCACGUGCAACUGUCGAUACUAAUCUCUCGAGUUUGUGGGAUUUAAAUAGACGGAAAAUUCUCCCUAAAAGUUUUAACGCUACUGCAUAUCCAAGACUGAAUUUGAACUGAGAACCUUAGCUAAGUUAGAAGAGACUGACAUCUCAUCUAAACAUUUUUAGUUCAAGAACUUGUUUAAUUUUUUUUUUUAAAUAGUUUAGAGACCUAUGGAUUAAUGAGUUAAAUAAGUAAAUAGUCCCUCUAAAUAUAUCAACAUUUGAUUUUAGUCCCUCUAAAAUAUUUUUUAGGUUUUUGGUCCCUUUAAAAUUUCUCAUCUAUGAAAUUAGUCCCUGCGCUAUUGUAAUACUCAAUGUAGAGCUGAGACUAAUUUCAUAAAUGAAAAAUUUUAGAGGGACCAAAAACUUAAAAAAUAUUUUAAGGGGACUAAAAUCAAAUGUUAGUAUAUUUAGGGGGACCAUUUACUUAUUUAACUCUAGAUUAAUUAAACUUAUUUUUAACGGCGACAUAACUAUGUUACAAACAAUUUAAUAAGUGAGAUUAUCUUAUUAUUAUCUAAAUGCAUACUUAAUUAAUACUUUAAUAAGAUGAAGAUGAUACUACUUGUUUGAUGCGUUAUUGUUGGAGUAUGAGAGUAUAAUAUAGUUUUUGAAAUGAAGAAAAGAGGGGGCAAGAGUGCGCACGUGGAAUUAGGAAAAGAUUGGUGAUGUAAUUGUGUUUUGGCGUGUUUGGUAAUGGAAGAGACAUUGCACCGGCAAAGGAGGAAAGAGUGAGAGAUGAAGCAAUGCAUGCAUAGAACACAACACCAAUAUACGACACUAGCAGUACCACUGCCACUCCUUGUGUUAUGCUAUGCUGCUACACCUCUUUCUCUAACACACACUCCAGCUCUCUCUGUACUAUACCACCAAGAUAAUUGUUAGGGUGAAAAGGUGUUUCAUAGAUUCCAUGCCUUAUGAAGUUACUGUAUGGAUGAUCUCACCCUAUUCAUGAAAAUCAAUAUAUUAUAGGUGCUUCGUCAUUGCAAUUAGGCGUCAUUUAAAAAUUAGUCCAUGUAAUCGCUAAUCGGGGCAAUUUACCCUUACAUUGUUUAAUCAUUUAAAAUUUCAUCCUUUGACCAACUUAAUCACUACCAAGUCAUCAAAUUAGCAAAAUGACAUGGGAAUUGACAAAAAUACCCUCGUCUUUAUUAUGAGAAGAAGAUGAAGACACGGGUAAAAAUGUCAUUUCACGAAUGGAUGACGAGGGUAUUUUUAUUUGACUGUUAUAUGUUUGAUUUCUUUCAAUGUUUCUGAUUCUCUAUAUAAUCUACUGCUUAUUAAUGUUGGCACACUGUGGGGAGCUCGGGGGACCGUCCACAUCUGCUUCUCUAUAUUCUCUAUAUACUCUUACCCAAAACCUUAAGGCAAUGGAUUCAACCUUUAUUAUUUUUAUCUGAUGUGAGACAUAUAACCCACACAUGCAAACCAACAAUUAAUACUUAAAAAUAUUUAAAUUAGCAAGGACAAUUAAUCUUUUGAAUUUUAGGUUAAAAAAUUAGAGAAAUUGUCAAUUGAUUGACGUUGAUUAAACACAAAUAAUAAAAUCAUUGGGCUUUGAAUAUUAAUCCUCCAUAAAUGAUAUGGGAUAUUUAUCCGUUGCUGUGCCCUAAUGCAUGUGCUUAAUGAGUUCGUUAAAAAUUCAUCUUUGCUCUCUGAAUAUUUUUCAGUAAGCAUUUACUAUCUAUCUCUCUUUGAUAUUAAUGUACACUUUAUAUUGACACUCAAAAAGUGAGAGUGAGUGGGAGAUGGCAUUGGCACAGUCCCUUUCAAUCUCAGAGACACAAAUUAGAAUCGUUGAUUAUAUAUCUAAACGUGAAGCACGGACAUUCCUCGGAUUAGAUUAGAUGUGUCCCGUGUUGGACACAUGUCAGAUAUGUGUCGUAUCCGACACGGACACUGAUACUGACCCUUGUAAUUAUACUGAAUCAUGUGAUUUUUUAAAUUAUUAGCUGUGUCGGUGUGUCAAUAUCCGUGUCGUAUCCGGUGUCCAUAUCCACAUCCCUGCUUCAUAGAUUUAAACACAGCCACAGGAAGUAGACAUGGAGAACUGUAGAAGCUAGAGGCGUGUGUGUCUCUCUCCCAUCCCCCCUUUCGAUGACUUUGUUAUUACCAAAUGGGAUAGAGAUAGUGAGAGACAUUGAUGUUGAUAGUGAUAGGAAUGCUUAAUGCAAAAGAAGUUCGUAGUUGCACUGUUUUAAUUAUUUCAUUGUAAUUAAUUAUGGAAGAAUUUAAAUGAAGUAUGCUUGGAUUUUUCUAAUUUGGUGGUAACCCACUGAUUCUCCGCGGAAAGGGUGCACAGAAAAUUUAAAGUUUAACCGUAAGGUAAGUAUAGAUAAACUAAGUAUUCUUCCACGUGAGAAUCCUACUCGGAUUUUUUCAAAUAUUUUGUUAUUUGGUGAAGUGACCAAUCAUUUGAAUCUAAUCACAUGUUUUAAUGAGGCUUAUAUCAUUUGGAGACUGAAUACUGAAUAUUUAACAAAAAAAAUUGAAACAAAAGUGACAAUCUAGGAACAGAAGGUGUAUAACUUUUUCGUCCAGAAAAUAAAAAAACUUUUCCUUAACAUACAUUUUGAAAAUUCACAUAGCCUAUUCAAUGUAAUCUUUGAAAAUGCUGAGAAUCUUUGCCUAAGUACAGUCACGGGAUAGAAAUGGAGAAAUUCUCAAUGUUGAAAAAAAAGUCAGAAAAAUAUGGGAUGAUUCUUUGUCUUGCCUACUCAAUUCAUUAAUGCAACUAUGCAAACACACUACGUGAACAGUAUAUUAUUCAAGCACUUUUCACGUUGAAAACGAAAAAUGUAAUACUCCUUUAUUUUAAAUUAGGGUUUUGCUAACCAAUGUCUUAAGAGCAAUCGUUAAACAUUUCAUUUUUCAUCAAUUUACAAUGUAUAAUUCUAUAUGAAUCUUCUUAACUAGUGCAUUUAGGACACUAGCAGUUCACUAAAACUAUUUGUAUUUCUAAAUACUUGUAAAAUAUCUUGUAAUUUAGGAUGAAUGAUGACCACAACAAAUUAAAAGAAGGCUUAAUAGUAGUUUUAGCCCUCUAACUUUUCUAAAGUUGCGAUUUUGGCACCCUAAAAAAAAAACUACAAAACCGUCCCUUAAGUUUUGUAUAUGUGGCAGUUUUGACUUCCAAGACCAAUUUUGACUCGGUCUACGUUGACGUGGCACCCUAAGUGAGGUGCCACAUGUUAUUUUUUUUAUUUUAUUUUUUACCAAAAAUUGGCCUUGGAGGGCCAAAACUGCUACAGUUGCAAAACUUAGGGGUCGUUUCGUAGUUUUUUCUUAGGGACCAAAAUCGCAACUACGUGCAAAUUAGGGGGCGAAAACUGUUAUUAAGCUUUAAAAGAAAUUAACAACAUUAAUGGACCGAUCAAAGGAGUUAACGUGGGCCAUAUUUUGAUUGGACAACCCAAAACAUGAAGCCUUUGAUUGACUGUCACUCCUAUCCUAUCAAUAAGCAUCUUUCUCUAAGCUACCAUUAAGAGUGUGUCCAUGACCAAAAGGGCCAGUAAAAGGUCAGGUAGAACUUCCAUUUUUAGAAGUUGAUCACUAUUAUGCCUAUAGUCCUUGUUUUUAUAGGGCUCUAGGUUAAUCUAUCAAUGACUUAUAUUCAAUAUCCACUCUCCUACACUUCUAGUUGCUUAAUAAGAAAAAGAAACUUCAUGGCAUGAUAACAAUUAAAGAGUGCUUGACACGUGAAUAUGAAAAACCGAUAUAAAUAAGUUUAAAGCCGUGAAUUUUGGAGAUGUACGUUAGGGCUUUACUUUUGCAUGUAGCUGAUUUGAUGUUACACUGAAUUUUCCACUAAGAACUGUUGAACUAUAACUAUCAAAUUAAUUGGAGAUAUACUAUUUGUUAAAUUUGUUCAAAACAAAAGUUGUCUUAACUUAUCACAGAGAUGGAAGAAGUGUUUAUUUAUCCUUGAUUUGGAACUCUUGAGGUUGAAAAUUCUUGAAUGGUGACAACAAUAAAUUCAACAAUUAUGUUCUUCACCUGCACUUUUUGUUUGCGUCUAACUGAAAUACAUAAACUACUCCUGCGUUAGUUAAUUAACGCAAGUGCAAAAUUUUACGCAAGUUAUAUAUAACACCCAUAAUAAAUUUAUCUAGAAUAUUUAGCGUGUGCGUUAACUUAGUACUGGAUACAUUAAAAUUACAACAUAAUUUCGACCAAAUGAAUAUAUACAUCAAUAUAAGUUCGUACAUCCGAUAAAAAUAUCAACUACCAGAUAUGAUAAUCCAUUCGACCGCAUAACUGCCUUCUCUUGAUACAAGCAACCUGCUAAUCUUUAAAAUAAAUAAAAGGAUUGGGAUGAGACAUGAUGUCUUAGUGAGUUCCACCUAUCCUAAGUUGUAGGCAAUUGCGGGGAACCUAUGAUCGCCAUUUGUCCGUACAUACAUAUGAUUAUAGAUUUUACUAUUAUAUUCUGCAUAACUUAGCGAUUAGGGGAAAAAUCUAGGAUCGCUAACUUGUAUACUAUCAUAAUUCUAUCAUAUUUUAGAUGCGCUAUUCUAAUUUAUUUAUUUACUUUAUUCUAAUUUUUUUUUUUACUUUAUUCUAAUUUAUUUAUUUUCUAAAUUAUGUGUUCACUUUAUUCUAAUUUAUUUACUUUAUUCAAAUUAAUUUAUUUAUGUUAUUCUAAAUUAUUUAUGCACUUAAAAUAAAUAUUUAUUCGAAUUUAUUCAUUAAAUGUAUACAAAUAUAAAUAAAAAGAAAUGAACUAAAUUAAUAUUUAUUCGGAUUUAUUCAUUAAAUACAAAAUUAGAAAAUAAAAGCAAACAUAAAUUAAAAAAAAAAAUGAACAAAAUUAAUACAUAUAACAACAUCUCAUUUUAUUAAUAGAAUUCAUACAAUAAUUGAUACAUUUGUUCGAAUUCACUAAAUCUACUAUUUUCUUUUUACCCUCUUGGUAAAUAGUGAGCAACAUUCUUGGAGGAAAUACAUCAUCAACCCUUAGAGUGUGUUUGGAUGGGGUAAUGUUUUGAGGGAAUUCAAAUACUUAAAAGGCGAAUUCCAUUGUUUGGAUAAUAAUUUGAAGAUUUUUCAAAAUGAUGGAAAUUUAUGAAGUAUUUUCAAAAUUCUUCGUUGUUAUAAUUUUUCAAAUUUUGCAUUAUGGUCCUCAAAUUUUCCAAAUUUUUUAAUUUGACCCCAAUAAAUUUCCAAAAAAUUGCAAAUUUGUCCCUCAAAAUUUUCAUAAAUUAUAAUUUGGCCCCUUAAGUUUUUGAAAUUUACAAAUUGACCCCUAAUUUCAAUUUUCAAAUCUGACCCCCUAAAAAUUAAAAUUUAUAAAAGUUGCCCAAAAAUGAUGGUAAUGAAAUUUUUAAUUACUCUAUCCAAACAAAAGUAUUGAGAAAUGUGAUCAGUGCAUUUUUAAUGUACUUUCUUCUAUCUUAUGCUAUGACAAUUCUAUGAUUUCUCCCUUUAAUUUUAGUGUUUUUAAUGUGUUUUCUAAGUUUAGUUUAAUUUUGCAUUUAUUUUAUUUACGCUACUUAUUUUCUGACACCUUUCAUUGCGCAGGGCAUAACUGGAGCUGCGUUUAUCGUUUUGAGGCCCACAACCAUGCGUUGGAAAGCUAAGAGAAAAUGCUACAACUUUCAUGUUGAGGACAGAACCCAGUUCCGAGCGCAAAGGAGUCAAAUAAUCGCGUUUUGUUCCAGACGUUAUUUUGAAUAAUUAAUUUUGAGACAACAUUUGUUUUUCGGCCCGAUACUUGCAAAGCCCGUUGUUCCCAUGUAAUAUAAAAACUAAAAAACACAGCUAGGGCUGCUCAUUCUGCAUUCACGUUUCAGAAAAUAGAAACCCUAAGAGUGUGUUUGGAUGGAGUAUUUGAGAAAUUUUGAAGAAUUUAGAAUUCUAGGUAAUUCAAAUGAUUCAAUUAAAUUGCUUUCAUUCUUAAAUAUUAUUGUUUGGAUGGAGUAAUAAAAAAAAAUUAUUGUCAUCAUUUUUGGGCAACUUUUAUAAAUUUCAAUUUUUUUGGGCCAAAUUUGAAAAAUGAAAUUAGGGAUCAAUUAGUAAAUUUCAAAUUUUUUGAGGGGCCAAAUUAUAAUUUUUGGAAAAUUUGAGGGGUCAAUUUGCAAUUUUUUAUAAAUUUAUUGGGGUCAAAUUGAAAAUUUUGGAAAGUUUGAGGACCAAAAUGUAAAAUUUGAAAAAAUAUGACAAUGAAGAAUUUUGAAAUUCUUAACUUUUAGGUGUCAUUUGAAAUUCUCUACAUUUAACUUGAACAAAAUACUUCAUAAAUUUCCAUCAUUUUGAAAAUUCUUCAAACUAUUACCCAAACAAUGAAAUUCACCUCAAGGUAUUUGAAUUCCUUCAAAACAUUACAUUCCCUCAAAACAUUCCCCCAUCCAAACACACUCUAAGGUAGCUGGUUGCUAUGGAGAAUUAAUCUCUCUUUCGAUCCAUUGGUGACGGAACUUUGUUGUUACUCUUGAGGUUCGGUUUUAAUAGCAAUUUGUUAUGUUUAUGCUGAUCAUAUAUCAAUUUUCUUGUCUCUCUUAUGUGUAUGAAUUUGGUACAAUUGAUGCUUAAUUAUUCUGUUUCAUAUUCAUACCGUUGAGAUUGUUCGAAUUAAUCCAUCGCUUGUUUAAAUUAAUUUGAACAGAAAACUAUAUAUGCUUUUUUCGCUUGCAAAAAGGGUUGAUCGAAUCUUGUUAUGAUAUUAACUUUGUUCUUGGUGAUGCUUGAUCAUCACCAUAGUUAGUUGAACACGUAUGAUGCUUAAUCAAACGAAUUCUAUAUAAAACUGAUUUUCGCUUGUUAAAUGAGUUUUAUAAUCAACCAAAGCAUAAACUCUUAAACAAAUACUCUUGAGAGCAUGUGAUAGAUGAUAAACAAAGUUUCCUAAAACCAGUGGAUUGCUUUUCUAUUAAUUGAAUUCAUCAUCCUAUUUACUUUUCUUUACAACAAAACAAAAACCCCCCGAUUUAUAUUUUUGAAUUCAUAGUUGUUGUUCUUGUUAUUGGUAAUUGCUAAAUCAGAAAUCCUCGAGAGACAACCAAGGUUAACUACCUUGUACUACUUGUUUUAAAAUACUUAUUUUUGAUCGUCCACGACAACGAUCAAAAUGAAAGUAAUUUAAUUGAAUCAUUUAAAUUGUCUAGAAUUCUAAAUUCUUUAAAAUUUCUCAAUUACCUCAUCCAAACACACACUUAGAGUGUAUUUUGAUGAGGUAAUUGGGAAAUUUUAAAGAAUUUAGAAUCCUAGGCAAUUUAAAUGAUUCAAUUAAAUUACUUUCAUUUCUCAAUAUUUUUGUUUGGAUGGAGAAAUAAAAAAAUUUCAUUGCCAUCAUUUUUGGGCAACUUUUAUAAAUUUUAAUUUUUUUGGGCCAAAUUUGAAAAUUGAAAUUUGGGGUCAAUUUUUUAAAUUUCAAAAAUUUUGAAGGGUCAAAUUAUAAUUUUUAAAAUAUUUGAGGGGUCAAUUUGCAAUUUUUAAAAAAUUUAUUGGGGUCAAAUUGAAAAUUUUGGAAAAUUUGAGGACCAAAAUGCAAAAUUUGAAAAAAUAUAACAAUGAAGAAUGUUGAAAUUCUCUAAGAGUGUGUUUGGAUGGGGGAAUGUUUUGAGGGAAUUCAACUACUUUGAGGUGAAUUCCAUUGUUUGGAUAAUAAUUUGUAGAAUUUUCAAAAUGAAGGAAAUUUAUGAAGUAUUUUAUUCAAGUUAAAUUUAUAGGAGAAAUUCCUGUGUAGGAACGAAAUGUUGUGUGAGAUUAUGUUUUGAACUUUCUCCCUCCCAUUGUAUUCCUAUUUCGUUGGGUACCCUAACCAUAUCAUCUGAUUUGGUAGGUUCGUUGCCAUCUCCAAUCCUCAUAAGAAAUUCUGCAAAUUCAUGAUCAUGCAUUGAUCGCAUAUUUUGGCGCAGAUGUAGGACCUUUGUAAUGGCCCAUAAAUUAGACCGAACGAUGCAUGCAUUCAUCAUUUGCGAUUGGUUUCCCUUUGCAAUAACUAGAAGCACUUGACGAAAAUCUCCCCCCAUAAUAACCACUUUCCCACCAAAUGGUUCAUUGUUACCCAUAACAUCUUGUAGUGUUCGGUCUAAUGCUUCUACACAAUACUUGUUUAACAAGGGGGCUUCAUCCCAAAUGAUUGCAGUAGCCCUUCUCAUGAGUUUUGCAAGGUCGCCUUGCUUAGGCAUUGUGCAUCUAGAAGAUGGCUCUAUCUAGAAGGGUAUUCUGAAUUGAGAGUGUGCAGUUCUUCCACCGGCUAAUAAUGUAACAGCUAUCCCAGAUGAAGCCGUUGCUAAGAUAAUGUCUCCUCUACUUCUCAAAACUGCCAUUAUUGCUCGAUAGAGGAAUGUUUUUCCUGUACCUCCAGGACCAUCAACAAAAAAAACAACGCUUUUCUUAUGCUUGAUGACAUUCAUAAUGGUGUUGAAGCAAACAUCUGAUCAUUAUUUAACUUUUCAACAGAUUGAAUGUCGUCAUGUGGAAUUUGGACUGAUAACUCCUCCAAAAUCAUUUUUGGCACUACGUCACAUUCUGUUGUUUCGAUAGUUAUCGCAGGAAGAUCAUAGUCUUUGAUAAUCUUCAACCAUGUGGGGGUAAAAUUCAUUAAACAGACCUCUAACAUCAGUUGGCUCACCAAAAACUAAAAUAGUGGCAAACAACCUUCUUAAAGCAUAUGGCAUACGUUGAUUUGACGCGUCAACCAUGCAUUCUCGAAUACUAUUGUCACUCUCCAAAAAUCCAUGACACUCUACUGACAUUUUGAAUGUGUGAUAGAAAGUUCCAUUACAUGUGAGAAGGUAUUCCCAACUUGUUGGACCUCGCAAAUGAGAUAAUAGGACAGGUAGGUAGAAUUUCUCUCCUUCUGAAGGGGACACUGUAUUGAUUCGACCAAUAACUUUUCAGUUAUUUUUUAUUCUCUGCCAUUUCUUAACCCCUUUUUUCCAGCAAUAAUGCUAUGGAAUCUCUCUGUACAAUAAAUUUCUAGCAUAUGGAUCCAUUUGGUUUAGUGCAAAGAAUUAUGUGAGCAUUGUUUUUGAAUUUUGGUCAUCAUUCAGCACAUAAGCAAUUUGUUGAUGGUUAUAAUAUCGCACUUGUUGAUGAUUUGGUAAGUGAAUUUGCAGUCUUUCAACAGAGGGAUAUAACUUGUAUAAAGUGAAUUUAAAUAUUCUCCAUAAUGCCUCUGGAGCACAAAUCCAUAUUGCAUCUACAAACUGCUGAAUUUCAUCCAUAUUUGUUCCUCUGUGAACUUCCAUCGUGACACGAUCAAGUCUCUUGUAAACAUAUUUAUAGAGAUAUUCAAUGCUUUUGAUGCUGCUGCAUACCUCGACAUUUAUGUGACAAUCAUAUUUUAACAGCAGCCAUGCAUUAUAAGGAACCACCCAUUGCAAUAUCUGUUAUUGUCUUUUCCUUGACGGGUCUCUUCUACAAAUUCUUUUGAAUAUCUCUUUUUACAUUGCCGUUCUUUACUCAUGCAUGGUGACUUUUGAUUCAGCCUGCCGCAUGGCCCAUGAAUCAUGUGUUUUAGGACUGCCUCAUACAAUUGGGGCUCAGAUUCAACCUUUGGUAUUUCUGCUCUUACCACCUUAUCAUAAUCUUGUGGUUCUCGUAACUUGUCAUCGUUAUCAAAGAUUAACAACAUAUGCACAUGCGGAAGACGUCGUUUCUGAAAUUCAGUUACAUACAUAUAACUUUUAACCUUUCCUAAGACACCUUUAGUUAUGACAUCAUCCUUCAAUUGCUCAAAUUUAGAGCGGAAUAUUCUUGUUAGCAAGUUAGGACGAUCUUAUGGGGUUUGAUUAGGGCCAAGUUCAGAAGUGAUCUCAGACCAAGAAGGGUAACAUGUCAUUGUGAGGAAAAUAUCCGGUUUACCAUCUUUAAGCACAAUGGCCAUACCGUCUUGGUAUCUCUGUGUCAUAUCUCGUUUACUACCCAUAAAUGAUGAUGGUAAUAUUAUUCUCUGCCCGACAUUUGCUAUUAAAUUUUUGGCUUAUUAGAUCGUUUGGUCCCCUAAACAAUUUCAUGUUUUCAUUUUGGUUCCAUAAUUAAUAAAACAGGUGUUUUAGUCCCUCACUUUUUGCUCUGUUUGCCAAAUAAAUCCCUUCUGUCAAAUAAUUAACAUUUCCGUUAAUAAAAGCUCACGUGGCAAAAAUAACCCGGAAAUUUGGCUUCUUUCUUUGUGUUCUUCAUCAUCUUCAUAGGAUUUAUGAAGGAAAAAAGAAAAAGAAAAAACCAGAAAAAAAAAAUCAUCAAACAAACAACUUCCCUACCCUUUCCAAUUUCCCUUCUCUGUCGAUCCCUUUCUUUUUCUCUUUCUCUUUCUCUUUCAUAACCUUCAAAACAUCUCAUUCAACAAACAAAAAUCCUUGAUCACACAAAAGAGGGUGGGAAAAAAUUGAUGGGUUGGGCGUGUCUCUCCCUCCAUCCAUCAUUCCAUUAUUAUUCUCUACUGGUAAUCAGUAACAAUUAGAAGAAAAAACAACAAAAUCAACAAUUAGAAGAACAACAACCUCGUCUGAGAUUUGGACGCGGCCGCCGGAGGUUCUUGGCCUCGAGCUCAGAUCUGGCCGUGGCCGAAGUUUUUUGGCAUGUGAAUGGGUUUUUGAAUUGAAACUUGAUCUUCCUUGCUCUUUUCUUCCCAAAAACAUGUUUUUUUUUUAAAACAAACAAAUCAUUAGAAGAAAUUAAUAUCAGUAUCAUCAAACCAAAGAAUCCUCCAAGAACCUACCUCUAAAGAUCGACUCUCAUAUUUUCUUUUUUCCUUCCUUAUUCAUUGUUAUGGCUUGAAUAUUGAUAGUUGCCCUUUAGUUUGCAUCAUUGGAUUGGAUGAUUCUUCGCUCUCAUCCUUGAAUAUUUAUAGUUGCCCCUUACUAGUAUUUUUUUUUCUUUCUUCUGGGUUUGAUUUGAUGAUUUAUGAAGAUGGUUUUACUCCUUUAUUUAUGUUUCUAUUGUAUUAAUUUGUGUAGAUUUGAUGUUGUUGUUUUAAGAAUUGUUGAUGUUGAACAUUAUAUGAAUUUUGGUGAUUAGAUUAUGUGAUGUUGUUCUUUUAUUUUUUUCUAGAUUUUUCUCAAUGUUGAUGAAUGUGAGUUGAAGAUGAUGAAGAAAGAAAGAAAAAAAUUAGGUGUUGUUGGUACACCGUAAGUAACAAUAGACAUGCAUAAUCCAAUGGUCAUCUUUUUAAAAAACAGAUCAAAUGGUUUACAUUAAAAAAUUUAAUAAUGUCUAUGGUGGACCACUCUUAAGGUAGGUCCACCAUAGACAUUUGGGGUUAAACUUAACAACCAUGGAUUUAUUUGGCAAACGGAGCAAAAUGUGAGGGACUAAAACGCCUGUUUUAUUAAUUAUGGGACCAAAAUGAAAACAUGAAAUUAUUUAGGGGACCAAACGAUCUAAUAAGCCUAAAUUUUUUUUUGCAAUGUGUGGGUAAUGGAAUGUAAAAAACAAAAUCUAUAUAACAUAUAAAAAAUUUGUUUAAUGUUAUACUUGCGUUAGUUUCCCCAUCAUAUAAGGCAUCCUGCAAUCCCUGGUAUAACUCAGACCGAAUAUUAUUCUGAUUUCUCCGCAUCCACCUUAGUCUUCUAGUUUCUAUCUUAACAUAGUUAUCAACAACAUAUUGUUGUAGAAGUCGACCAGAUUUUAACAAUACAGAUCGGUCAUUUGCACAAAUCUAUAUUAAAUGAAAAAAUUUAUUAUAUAGAUUUUACACAAAUAUUUAUGUAAGUAUUAUGGGCAUAAAAUUAUUUUGUACCUGGAGCAUGUAACUAUAGUAUGCUCGAGUGUUACAUCAUCACCGCGAAUAUUAUUCUGAUUUCUCCGCAUCCACCUUUUGUAGAUUUCCAUCGUUGCUGCAAGAUGUUUAUAUCUUGUCCACGUUCCAGUGUUACAUCAUCACCGCGAAAAAUAACUGCAGCGACUUGUGAAGCAGAUGGGAGAUUAUAUUGAGGUUGAAUUGAUGGACGCUCCUUAAUAAGAAGCCUACACUCAUGAACAUUCGGCUGAAGUGCAAGCUGUCUUAAAUUAUGCCCAAAAGGAUUGUAUUAGUGGAGCAUAUUUUGCAAUUUACGCACAACAGUUUGGUUUAGUUGAGGGUUUUCUGUCAUCCUAUUUUGAAGCUCAUUGUCCGUAUCAUAAAUGUACAAUUAUAAAAAUCGCGGCCUAGAACCUUGAUUUGGAUAAAAUUCACAUAUUUUGUGGUAAAUUGAUCCUUGGGCACGGAAUGUGUAUAUACCAUGACUUGUAGCAUGCAUUGUUUCAUCGAUAUGAACACCCAAUGAAGUGAACGACAUAACAUGGUUGUAACCUCUAAUAUUUUGUCUAAAAUGUCGACCUUCAAUUGUAGUGUCUGAAAAUAACUGCUGCAACUCUUCGGGAGCAGCUACUUGUGUAACUAUCACAUUUCCAUUUUUGCAGCACAUAUAUUGGGUUUCUUUGUAAAACAAUUUUGUAUUGCAUCGUCUACACGUACGUGGUGUAGGGAGCAGAGCGUUGAUCAUCAUGACAGUAUUUUUGAAAUUUCGUGCAUUGUUAUGUAUUGCUUGAAAUGUACACCGUGGAACUGUAUGUUAAAAGGUAUAUAAUGUUAUGAUAGUCAAGUAUAAGUACCUAUGAUCAGAGUAGAAAAAAUAGAUAGAUAAACACAGGAGUGCCCGUCAUGAAGACAUUUUUUUUUGUUAACUUGGUUAGUGGUUAAAAUUCACUUUUAAGGUGAAUAUGCGGGGUGAAGGAGAUUCGAAAUCUGAUCAUUGUAUAUUAUAAUGCAUUGUUCCUAUUAAUUGAAUUAUUCUCAUAGUGAUCGUCUUGAUGAUAGUAUUUGAAAUCUAUCAGACCGACUAACUUAAUAAGAACAUAUUUUAUUUUGGGACAUAUUACACAAACCUCUAUUUUUGUUUGAAAUUUCCUUAUAUAUUUAAAAUAGUGUGGUCCACCUUCCUGUUUAAAAAAGAAGUGGUUCAGCCCUGAAUUGGGUCCGUAUUUGAAGAACGGAAAUUUAUUAUUUGUGUUUUAAGACAAUAGAUACUCUCGUCAUCAUAUUUCACUAUUAGGAGGCACACUUUUAAUUAUUUUUUUGUUUUGGUAUAGGCACACUUUUAAUUUAAUAUAUGAAUUAAAAUAGUUUUUUCUAGAGUAAAUUGUUCAUUGGCUAGUUGUUAUUAGUAUGUUUAAACAAUGGUAUAAAGCAAAAAAGUUUAAAAAAGUUGGAGAAAUCGACGCAAUAAUAACUUAAAAUUGUGAAUUGUGAAUAAUAAGUCUAAAAUGUUAAUAAGAAAAAUAAAAAUUCAUACUUGUUUACUAAUAUUUUUUGAUAAUACAUAACUUUAGUUGUACCUUGAUAGUAAUACCAUGUUGCGUCGUUAGGUGUGGUGUCGGAGACGACAUUUGAUGUUGGAGUCUCUGAAAAAAUAUAGUGAAUUCUUAUUAGGAGAAUGUGGCUAAAUAUUACUAAUUAUAAAGAUAUAUAAUUACUAAAUUUAACUAAGUAAUUGUUACAAAAUAUGGUGCUUACCAUCUGUAGUGUCAUCACUAUUUCUUCUACUUGGUCCCGCUUCAUUGUCAUGAGUUCCUUGAAAAUAUCCUGAAUCAAUAUGACGGUAUAUAAGUUGUAGUAGAAAUUAAAGCACAAAGGUUAAUUUAUUAAAAAUGAGUAAUAUAAUGUAUAUUCUUAUAUAAGUAUUUGUAAUUGAAGUAAGCUUGAAAUAAAUUAAGAAACAAUUAUAUUAUGUCACUAACCAGAUGUGGUGUGAUUGAAUCAUCGACGAUUACUUGGUCCAGCCUCAUUAUCAUGAGUUCCUUGAAAAUAUGCUGAAACAAAAUGGUGAUAUGUAAGUUUUAAUAGAAAGUACGAAGGUUAUUUUAUUAAAAAUGAUUAAUAUAUUGUAAAUUGUUAUAAGUAUUUGUAAUUUGAAGUAAGCUUGAAACAAAUUAAGAAACAAUAUUUUUUCUUUAUCACUAACCAGAUGUGGUGUGAUUGAUUCGUCGACGACUACUUGUUCCAGCCUUAUUGUCAUGUGUUCCUUGAACAUGUGACGAUGUAAAAUUUAAAUUUGUCAAAUCAUUAAAUGGCAUCAUGUGAUCUCUGUUUGUUUCACUUGUUGUCUGAGGUUGUUUUUGUAACGCCCUAGUCGUUAUUUUAAUUAUUUUGGAUUUAUGUGGAGUCUUAUAUGUGAUUUUAAAAUUAUAUUUGUAGAUUUUAUGGUGUGUUAGAUUUUACUAUAUAGUUUAUUUUAAUAAUAAUUAGAAUAAGUGAGAAUUAGUAUUAUUUUGGAGUGUGGGGAGUUAAUUAAUAUUUAAUAGAAUUAAGGGGGAGUUUAAUGAAAAGUAGGGAAGUUACGUUUUGGGAGUUCAGAAAAGAGAAAAGUCAGAAAACGUUUUUACGUGAAAAUCAACUUUUGGGAGAAAAGGGAGAGAAGAGCAAGUAGAGCCAAGAACCAAGUUGCUGUGAUUAUUUUUCUGCAAUUCUAAGGUAAGGGUGAGGUUUACCGCAAUUGUAUAGGUUCUGAAUUCUGAUUUUGUUUUUAACAAGUUUAUGAGAGAAUUGGGAGAAGUUAGAUUUUGUUAAAUUAAUGGGUUUUGAGAGUAGGGAAUGUUAUAUUGAUGUUAGAAAUGGGUUCUGAGUGCAUAUAACCUUUCAUUGCAUAUCUGUAAACUGAUUUCGGGAGUGAAUUGGAGGAAAAUGGGAUUUUUGGGAAAAACCUGCAUUCUGCCCGUACAGAAGUUCAUCGCUCGCCUCACGAGUAGCCUUUGCUCGCCAAGGCGAGUGAGAAACUUCAUGGCUCACCUCGCGAGUGAGACAACUCGCCAUGGCGAGUACCUGUGAGGAAAACUGAAUUUUUAAAGUGUUGUUAUAAGCCGUAUUGUGGGUAGUUUUAUGUACCUAGAUAAUUUUAGACAGGACUGGAGCAAGUUUUAGAUUUAAAAGAUGAAUAGGGAGCUUAGAAUUGUUGAAUUAGUGAGAAAAAUGUCAAAACUCCCGAGAGCACCAUAUUUUUGUUCGCCUCGAGUUCGCCUGGAAUCGCCAUGGCGAGUGUCCUGUUUUCUGAGCUCGCCAUAGGCAGUAGAUGUGCUCGCGAGGCGAGUUGCCCAGUAUUUGUUUGAUUGAUUCUGUUGUUGAUGGUUGAUUUAUCUUGAUGAUUAAGCAUGACUUUUAUAAUGGUGUAUUUUCUGGAUGUUCUAAAUUGGUUAUAACGAAUUGAUGCUGGCUGGAUGUAUGCUUUUAUUUAAUUAAGUCAUACAUGAAUGUUGUAAUUGGAGUGGUGAGUCAUAUACAUAUAUAUGCAUAGGUUGGGUUGUAUGUAGAUAUACACAAGUGGGUCAGUUGCAUAAGCAUAAAAGUGGGAGAGCUUCGACUCUGGAACGCCUUGUCGUUCAAAGUGGUGGAGCACUAGUUGCUCAAAGUGGUGUCAGUGGUGAGGACUUAUGUCCUGAAAAUGAAUGCUUUAACCAUUCUACAGCGGUGAGGGCUACGGUCCUGAUUAUGGUACCACAUGCAUGGGUGUUGUUAGAGGAGUCUUAGUGGAGAGGUGAUGAGUUGCAUGAGUCGUUGAGUUGGUUUUUAAUUACCAUUAUUGAUGAAAUUGAAAAUGAUGAUAUUUAUAUAUUGUUGAUGAAUUAUUAUGAUAGGGUGUUAGAUUCAAUUGAUGCAUUCAUUAUCUAUAUUAUUGUUGUGAAUCUCACCCCUUCUGCUUGAAAAUGUUGCCCUUCCUAUGGGUAACUUGCAGGUGAUCCUGAGUAGUUGGUGGUGGCUCAAAGUGUCUAGGGCUCUGAUACGUACGAGAUGGGAUUUAUUUAUUGCUUUCAUUCCUUAUGUAUCAAUUUUUGGAACUUGAUGAUGUAGCCCUUUUGGUUGUCUGUUGGAUUUAUGUCGUUGAGGCUUUAUGCCAAGAAUUAAUUAUUGGAGAAUUAAUUAGUUGGAUGUGGUGUUAUUUAAAGGUUGAAAAUAUUCCGCUGCAAGGUUUUGAUGAAAUUAUUAAGUUGUGGUUUUAUUGAAUAGUUUUAUAAUCUAUUUAAGAAAUUUUGAAAUGUAGUGUAGCAUGCCCGUUUGGUGAGUUACUCUGAUGUAUGAUUAUUUAUUAUUUAAUUGAAUUUGGGAAACGGGGUGUUACAGUUUUCCCCUUUCUUUUGAUUGUCUAUAAUUUGUUCGCCUUCUAGACAAUUCUUGUUGUCUUUGCUUGGUGCUCAUAUUUUGCCUCCGAUUUCUUGCAUUUUGAGUUCGUCUUUCCCUUUGCAAAUCCCUGCACUGUUUGAUGUAGUAUUUUUGAAUCAAACAAUUGUAAGUAUUUGUAUCGUCUCCUUAGGGACUAGUGCGAUAUUGCGGACCGUUCGACACCAAAUAUCAUUCUAAGUUAAACGAUAAUUUGUUAUUUGUUUGAAUAACUAAGUUGCAAAUGAUAAAGUUGAGAUUAAUAGGGCGUAAAACUUGUUAGGAUUAGAGUUCCUUGAUCAAGCGUCACACGUAACCUAAUGACCGUACAUGGAUUCUAGCUUUUCUUUGAUAUUAUCACGUAUCCCUCGACAACACUAUUCGUGUCCAAACAAUAUUGUGAAAUCAAUUGUAUCAUUCAAUUGUCGAUGUCUCAAACUAUUGAAUGAUUCAAGAGUCGAUCUUAUCGUUCAAUCGAUAAUUUCUCAAUCUAUUGAAUGAUAAGAAAGCUUUAGGUUUGGAUACACAAGGUGAUUAUCAAAACAUCGAUUCCAUGUCUAAAACCUAUGUUUUGAUAGAUGGUUAUUCUAAACCUAGAUUCAAAAGUAUUUCUCAAUCACAAUUAAAUCAAAGAUAAACAUUAAAGUGCAAGAAUAACAUCAAUAUCAAAUCAAAUGCUAUAACCAUAUAUUUAUAGAUCAAAAGAUUACAAGUUAAGCUAAGGUCAAGUACCUCUAAUCCCAACAAAGGAGGUUUAGCUACUCAUUGUCAUGGAAGCCUUGCAAGAAUGAAUUGAAGAAGCAAGAUUCAUUACAACUUGUGAUUUCUCAACAAAAGAUGAAGAAUCCACUUUCUAUCACUCUCACUCUAUGAAGAACAAGCCCUAUCUCUCUCUCUAAGAAUGUUACAAGUGAAAACUAUGAAAAACUAAGAUAAAAACUAAGUAUAUCAAUGAAAUGGUUGAGUGGGCUAUUUAUAGAAUUCUGAUUUUGUAUCAACUCACCUCGCGAGCUCCUUCAUUCGCCAUGGCGAGUUGAGGUUCCUUCACCAUUGGGUUUGUGCCAAGUCAUCUGUGAAGAGUUAAACCGCCCUAACUCGCCUCGCGAGUACACACAUUUGCCAUGGCGAGUUCUCUCGCCUUCCACUCGCCAUUACGAGUUGGUGGCGAAGGAUCUUUGAUGCUCACUGGAAUUGCUCGCCUUUUCUGCUAGCCAUGGCGAGUUGGAGGCGAGUAACAUCAUUUCUUGCCUCUUUGUACUUUUUCUUCAUUUUUGCUCUUCGCCUGAUGUCUUGAGUUCAAAUCCUGCGCAAAUGGGUGAAGUAAGAUAAAUAAAGCGUAAAAGGGCAAUAAUCAUUUAUCUCUCGGCUUUUCCCUCAAUAACUUGCAAAACAAGUAACAAAAGUGCCUAAAAUAUAUCAUGAAUUUAACACUUCCUAGCACUUAUCAAACUCUCCCCAACUUAACUCUUUGUGUGUCCUCAAACAAAAGAUUGAAAAUCAAACAAGUUAAUAUGACAAGACACAAGUACAAAAAGGUUUGAAAACAUUUUCAGAUGAAUGAUUCAAAGUGAAUGCGCGGGCAAGUCUGAGUUUCCAAUCAAUCUAGGAUUCUACCACAAAUAUGAAAUGAGUCCUACGCACAAAGUUCAUGUCAAAUAGUUCAAGUCAAUAAAACAUUCAUUCACGAACCACACCUAACACACUUUUUUGUAAGUAGAUAAAUAAUUGAAAUCAAAUGAGUGAGGGUUAUGAGCACACAUCCGGCAAUCAAGUUAACAUCCACAUGAAGUUAUAUGUCCAUCCAAUUAUCAUUUCAAAAGGCAUAAAAACAUGGAUCAAAAGGUCUUUGAGGGUUGUAACUUGGCUAGGCUACAAAAGAAUUGACAUUUGUGGGGCAAUUGAAUUCAAAUGGCCAAGCAUAAGGGAACAUUCCUUCUAUUUACAUUCAAAAGACAAAUUUACUAGAAUUCCCUAAACAACGGUGUUUAAACAUGAUACACCUUGAUCUUGACAACUUAUUCUAUUUUUGGAUUUUUCUUUUUCUUCUUUUCUUUUCUUUAUCAUGUACACAUUUUUCUUUUUCUCUUUUCUUUUUGCAUUUACAAACAAUGUUGUCUUGAUCAAAAACUUCUAAUUACACCAAUUUACUUGACAAAUUAUGACAUCUACCUUUUUCUCCCCAACUUGAAUAAAAACAUACCCUAUUUGAAUGUUCCCUUAAUCUAUGGCAAAAAGGGACAAAUAACAAUGAAGGUUUAGGGUUCAACAAUUGAAACAUAUCAAGGUCCGUUAGUGCAACAAAAAUGAACUGGAUUUUGAAAAAAUUAAGGCAAAUUCAUCAAACAUUGUGCUUAUGAAUUGACAGUUCAUAAUUGAGGACCUUGCUUCAUUUGGCUCAAGUGGGUUAACAAAUACUCGCUCUUCUCACAAGGUAGGCUAUUUGUGGUCAAGUAUGUUUCUCUCAUUAAACAAAAUAUGCCUUGAUCCAUUCCAUGUCUUCACACAAUUUAAAACAUAUAUUGGAUUUAACAUAAAAUGACCGAGUUAAUACAAUGAAUGCCGGUCUCCUUGCAUAUAGUACAAACAUUUGAGGUUUCCUCACUUUUUGGCUACUAAGUGGUUGAUGGGAUAAAACCGCAAGUGUACGGUCUUACCGAAGUAGUAUGAAAAGAGUAUCGUUCCGACAGGGAGUAGUUUAAUUCAAUUAACCUUUGAUGAUGAUUAGAGGAGAAAAGACUUGUAAGUUGGGGUUUUCAAGCGAUUGAAAAGUAAUAAUAUAAAAGGAGCCUUGGGAUCGUCGAUUCAUCCAAAUGACAAGUCCUUCACAAACCAAACUAUAAGCUUAUAACGUUAUGUUAGACCUAAUUUCUCAAGACAGUUUCUCUUUUGUUCCUUUAGCAACCAAGCCUAUUUCGCUGACUUGAUUACUAUUAGAUUUUGGUUCCUCUAACAACCAAGCCUAUUUCGCUGACUUGAUUAUUAUUAGUUCCCUUGAAGAUCGAAACUAUAUGUCUCAAAGAUUGCAAAGACUAUUUCGCUGCCUUUGCAAUCCUUGUCUAAAUUCACUUGUUCGAAUAUCAAAGUUCCACUUUCAUUUUAUGAAUUGAUAUUUGAGAUGAUGGAUGAAAAAUUAUCAAACCCUCCAUUUUUGUUUCCACAGUUUGAUAAUGGUUGAUCCAUGUUUAAGCGGUGAAUUUAGAUAAGAAAUUAGGGUUACAUAAGAUUAAGGCUUAGAGCUUGGUUUGAUUAGGAUUAGGUCAUUUAGACUUAUCCAACAAUCCCAAGACAAGGAGAAGUCUACUCACUCAUGUUCAUCGUAGACAUGGGGGAGAAGAGAGAAAGCAUAAAAGUAAAUGACAAGAAAAUAAAGGAAAAGAAAAGAACUUUAAUUAGAAAAGCAAUUGUCACUUCUUGAAUUCCAAGUAAAGAUGAAUAUUUGUGAUGGCUAGCUACUCUAUUUAUAGCAUACAUUCGACUUAAAAUCUAAGCAAUUACAUUACUGGAAUGUUCCAUAAGAAACUGCGAGCUAAAAUAGAGUAGCUUAAAAUCUAAGCAAAAGCAGUGAAAGUGACUCUAGAGGGUGGCACGGCCGUGCCAAUGCUAGCACGGGCCGUGCCAAGCUUCUGACUUUGGGGAGACAUAUUUUUGUCUCUCAAUCUUUGUAUUUUUGCAUUGAAUCAGCUCCAAGUCCCUUUCUUUUGCUCCAAGAUUCAAUCCAUCCAAUAUUCUUUCCUGAAAUAAAAUAGAAUGCAAUUUGUAGUAAACUAUCCUAAAAAGGAAAUAAUACUAAUAUCAAAUAAAAUAAAAUCUAAUUAAAAUUAAACUAAAUAACAUAUAAAAAUAGGUAAUAAAUGACUCAUCAAACUCCCCCACACUUGAAUCUUUGCUUGUCCUCAAGCAAAAGGCAUAGACAUGGCAGCAACAAAAGGAUUAAUAUAUGACAAUUGAAAUAAAAUCUUAUGUCUCUUUCAAGGUUUCAUUUCAAUGUACACUAAUCACAACUUCAAGUAUUCCUUGUGAACUUUAUUCAACCCAACAACAAGUCUUAAGUGAGUGUGUGUGUGUAGUCCAACCAUUUUCUUGCUCCUGUAUAAGAUAGAUAUUAUGAGGAAGAGGUUCUAACCUUAACACUAAAGUGACCGAGAAAAAUCCUUUCUUCAUUUCAUAUAAGAGAGAUGGGAGUUACUUAGAUAGAUUUGGCAAUUUAGAUACUUGGGGGCUUGUAGAUGCCUAGGGGCUAUCAUUUCACAUUGGAAGUCCGCGAGCGGGUAUCCUUUCCUCCAAGUUUCCAUGAUCACCCUAAGUAGUGCUACAACUUUAUUCAUCUUCACUUAGGAAGUUCCUCUUUUUUAGAGGGUUUUAUUCGAGCACAAUUUGUUUUGAGAAGUCAUCACCACAUUUAGGAAGUCAGUGAGAGAGUAUCCUUUCCUCCACGUGUUGGUGAUAUUCUUCUGCCCCAUUUUGGUUUACACAUUAUAGCACAUUAGAAUUAUUCCCACACAAACUUAUACUACUUUUACUCUGAAGAUUUUUUAGGGUCCAAGUUACCAUUAAAGUUAGAACGUGUUCCUUAAAAUACCUAUUCAUACACUUACUCAAGGAUUGCAACUAGGUGCUUUUCUCAUUGGAGAAUUUUCACAAUAAAACUUGAUGUGGGUAUAGCAGAACACUUACAACACAAGAAAUCACUUUCAUGUACAAGAAACGACCAUUGAAGAGACAAAAAAUUUAUGUCAUAAUAAAAUAAUAAAAACAAGCUGCUUAUUCAUGCCUUUUACAAUAAAACGAAACAAAAGAAUAAAGUUCAAGGGAGUUUGGAAACACUACGACUAAAGACACUUUAUUAGGCUCCCCCCACACUUAGGAGAAGCAUUGUCAUCAAUGAUUCAAAAUAGAAGAAAGAGGGGAAGGAGAAGAAGUAGUGAGAUAGAGAUUGAAGAGAUAAGGUGAAAGAGAGGAAGAGGAAAGCUCACAUUUUUAUUGAGGUCCAUAGGGAGGACCUUGGAGGUGGAAGUGUUGCAUCAUGUGCCGAAGCAUUUGGUUAUUCUCUUCGGAUAUGCGGUUGCCCCUUAGGACGUCAUUUCUUAGCCCGGAUAAUUCAACACCUUGCCUUUGUUGCUCGGUGCUUAUCCUUUGUACCUCAGUUUGCAUCCAUGCCCAUCUUUCAUUGUCGGCAUUAUGGUCAUGGGGUUCCUCUUCAUGGUGCACGUUUGCACCUUCCUCUUCACCUUGAUUAUGCUCUUCAUGUACCUGUAAUCCAUCACCAACAUACAACAAAUUUGCCUCCACCUCGGUGUUAGUCCGAGAUGGGUUAGGAAAUAGAAACAAAAGAGGUAUACGAAGUUGAAGUGCAUAGGUCAUGGUGGGUGAAUCUUAAUGAAAUUCAUAGCAACAAGGGUUUCAAUAUUAAGCCUAUUGUUGCCCUCAAUUGGAUUUAUCCCCUCUUCCUCACCCACUCCAAACUUCCUAGCGAUGAAGGUAAUGAUACCACCAACUACUAUCUCAGCUCUAUUAUCAGGUCUAGCACCUAUGGAGGAAAGGUAAUCAAGUAGGUAAAAGCAAGUAUGAACGGGGUUGUUACUAAGCAUUGCCCAAAGCAUAAAGAGUUCAUCCGUCCUAGUUGUUCCUACCUCUUUUUUCUACCCCAAAAUGGUACAAGCCAUGACUCUUUGGAGGUAUCUAAGCACUGGGUUGUGAAUGUUACUAGCCUUAUUGUUGCGAGGAUUAUAUUGCCUUAACCCGGUAAUGCGUUUCCAAAAGAGUGUGGGGUCAUAGUCUUCCGACUUUAGAUUUGGAUUCCAAGAGUCAUGGAUGAACCCCGCAUUUGCGAAGUCCAUCUCUAAACAAAAAUUUUCAAGAGACAUCUCGUAAUCCAUAUUCAAAAGUCGGAAGGAGACUCUAUGGUCGGGGUUAUCAAAGUUCACUUUAUCCUUCGUAAAUUCAAUAGAACUUAAGAAUUCGUAAGUAAAAUUUUCAAAACCUUUCAUAGGUCUAAGCAUAUCAACCCAUCCUAACUUUCCUAGUAAGCUAAACACAUUAUCCCUUAGUCCUAGUACACUCAAAGUAUAAGAAUCGGGAUAUCGACAAGGGUGCAAAAGUUUAGAGAUAAGAGUCUUAUACCUGUCCCUUUGCUUGGUGUCUUUGAAGAUUAUGCCAUGAUGCUUGGCUUGCGUUUUCUUCUUUGAUUGUGGUCCUCCGGAAGAGCUUGCUCCACCUUUCCUAGAUGCCAUAAUCCUUAACCUUGGUUUGACCUUUUGUGAUGGUGGUAAAGGUUGGUUUAGUGAUGGGGUUAAGGGUUAAGUGAGUUUUAAGAGUUGGGUUGUGGAGUUUGGUGAUGAAUUUGUGGGUUUUGGGUUAGGUUAAUGGGGGUGACGAAUUUGGGUGAUUUUGGUUUGGAUGGAUGAAAGUUGUUUUUCAAUGGUGUGUUAUGAUUGGAAUGGUGUUUGUGAUUGAUGGGGUAAAGAAAUGGUGUGAAUUGGUGAAGUUUUGAGGGAGAUAUGGAGUUUUCAGGUUUUGUGGUUAUAGAGGUUUUAGAGAAAAAUGGAAGGAUGAGAGAUGUUUGUGGUUGAGAAUGGGGGAUGAAGAAGAUGAAAGGUGAGGUAAAACUAUACCUGGAGUCGAGCACGGCCGUGCCAGCCUUAGCACGGGCCGUGCCAACUCCCUGGAUUGUGGAAUGGUUUUUGGAAGGCAAGGUCUGGCACGGCCGUGCCAGUGUGAGCACGGGCCGUGCCAAGGUUCUGGAUAAAUUGACUUCAAAAUUUUCCGUUUUCUCGAAUCAUGCUCGGACAAUUACCUACAAAACAAUUAAAAACAAAACAACAAAACAAAACAAAAGCAGUUAAAUGCGUGGGUUGCCUCCCACGAAGCGCUUCUUUAUAGUCAUUAGCUUGACGUUUUAAGAAAGUGUCCUUAGAAGGGAUCAAAGAGGUCAUAUUGUGUAGAUGACGCUAAUGAGCGUUCUUUCACAUCAUGACCUUUAAUCAUGUUACAAGAAUAGAGAGCGGGACCUUUCAUAAAAUUCUCUAACUCAAACCCUAUCAGCUCAUCACUUACUUGAAAAACAAUCCUACCAUUCUGAACAUCUACUAUAGCACCCGCAGUGGCGAGAAAGGUCCGUCCUAAAAUUAUAGGGCACUCGUUGUCCUCAUCUAUGUCAAGCACCAUGAAAUCAGUUGGGAUGUAUAUCCCUUCUAUUUUAACGGGGAUGUCCUCAACAUAUCCGACAGGUUGGAUAUCAGAACGAUCGGCUAACUUUAAUGUUGUUUCGGUAGGCUUUAACUCUCCCAUCCCCAGCCUUUUAAAGAGGGGUAAGGGCAACAAACUAACACUAGCUCCUAAAUGACAUAAGGCUCGGUUUAAGGUUUCACUCCCUAUCACACAAGGGAUGGCAAAACUUCCUGGAUCUCUAAGCUUUGGAGGUGGCUUCUUGAUGAUUGCACUUUUUUCUCUUGUGAAAGCUAUUAUCUCAUUUUUCUCUAUAGCCUUCUUCUUUGAAAAAAUGUCUUUUAAAAACUUGGCAUAUAGAGGCAUACGAGACAAAGCUUCAGCAAAGGGAAUCUGAACGCAAAUCUUUUUAAGUAUGUUUAAGAAUUUAUUAAAUCGAGCCUCCAAGUUAAGCUUAACGAGCCUUAAUGGGGAAAGGGCUUUGUUCUUGUCAAGUGGUUUCUUUAUCGCAUCCUUCUCACCUAGAAGCUUAACAUUCUCUCCCUUGACACUUUUGGCUUUAGCAACGGUCUCUUCUAACUUACUACCCCCAAGAGAAAUAGCAUUGACAUGAGCUUUGGGGUUUAUUUCAGGUCGACUGGGAAAGACUCCUGGUGUUUGAGAAGAGGUGGCCACUUGUUGGGCCACUUGGGAGAUUUGGGUUUCGAGCAUUUUGGUGUGUGUGGCGAUAGAAUCAACCUUGGUGGUGAGUUUGGAUAGAGAGUCGUUCAGAAAUCCUGUUUGGUUUUUUAGUUCUUGAAGUUGUUUAUUUUGAUUCAUCAUGCAAUUUUCCAACAAAAUUUCCAAACUUGAUUUCUGAGCCACCCUCUGGUUGUUUGUAUAGCCAGGUGGUGCUACUUGUCCAUAGGAACCUUGAGGGUUUUUGUAAAAGUUUUGAUUUGGCCUCGUUCCUUGGUUGUAUUGAGCAUAGUUCAAUUGCUCAAUACUAUUAGUAGCACUACCUAACUGACAAUCAACACCGAUAUGACCAAAUAUACCACAGAUUUCACAAGGAGGAGAUGUAGGAGAAGGUGUGACAGCAUUAACAUUAAGUUUUUCAAAUUUUUGAGUUAAGGCAUCAACCUUAGAAGCAAGGUGAUCAUAAUCAGAGACCUCGUACAUACCUGCCUCCUUUUUGGAGGGUGUGGAAGCGGUGAUGGCUCUUUCGUUGGUCCAUUGGUAGUGAUUCUGAGCCAUGUCUUCAAUCAAAGCAUAAGCCUCCGUGUAGUUCUUAUUCAUUAGUGCUCCACCUGCAGCUGCAUCAACAGACAUCUUAGUGGUAUAUGUUAAGCCAUUAUAAAAAGUGUGGACUAUGAGCCACUUUUCCAAACCAUGGUGGGGACAAAGUCUAACCAUUUCCUUGAAACGCUCCCACGCAUCAUAGAGAGACUCCCCAUCUUUUUGGUUGAACCGCAUGAUUUGGUCUCUUAGUUUGGCGGUUUUAGAAGGGGGAAAGAAUCGGGCAAGGAAUGCUCGCCUCAUUUGAUCCCAUGAAGUGAUGGAACCGACUUCUAGGGAAUGGAACCAAGCGCUAGCUCUAUCCCUUAAGGAAAAGGGAAAGAGAUGAAGUCUUAUGGCUUCUUGGUUCUCUUUUAUAGUGCCACUGAGUCUAAGGAAGGAAGAAAUAUGGAGAUUUGGAUCCUCAGUGGGUGAUCCAGAAAACUGAUUUUGCUGCACCAAAUUGAGUAGUGCAGGCUUGAUCUCGAAGUUGUUACCCUCAACCGUUGGGUACACGAUAAUAGCUUGUGGCUCCUCCGUUGAAGGAGUUGCAUACUCUUUGAGAGUGCGUUCAGCCAUAGCAGUAUUAUUUUGUGCCUCUCUCUUUUUCUUAUGCUAAUAUCUUUCGAUCUCAGGGAUAAAUUCUCCGAGACUUUUACUUCUUCGCAUAAGAAAUCGAGAACCCAAGAAGUUAAUGGUAAUACAAAGAAAGAAAGAAGUAGAAGAAAAGAGGGAGAAGAAGGAGUUCUAAUCAAAAAGAAAGAGUUAAUUAAAUUAGUUUACUCCCCGGCAGCGGCGCCAAAAACUUGAUGGGAUAAAACCGCAAGUGUACGGUCUUACCGAAGUAGUAUGAAAAUAGUAUCGUUCCGACAGGGAGUAGUUUAAUUCAAUUAACCUUUGAUGAUGAUUAGAGGAGAAAAGAGUUGUAAGUUGGGGUUUUCAAGCGAUUGAAAAGUAAUAAUAUAAAAGGAGCCUUGGGAUCGUCGGUUCAUCCAAAUGACAAGUCCUUCCCAAACCAAACUAUAAGCUUAUAACGUUAUGUUAGACCUAAUUUCUCAAGACAGUUUCUCUUUUGUUCCUUUAGCAACCAAGCCUAUUUCGCUGACUUGAUUACUAUUAGAUUUUGGUUCCUCUAACAACCAAGCCUAUUUCGCUGACUUGAUUAUUAUUAGUUCCCUUGAAGAUCGAAACUAUAUGUCUCAAAGAUUGCAAAGACUAUUUCGCUGCCUUUGCAAUCCUUGUCUAAAUUCACUUGUUCGAAUGUCAAAGCUCCACUUUCGUUUUAUGAAUUGAUAUUUGAGAUGAUGGAUGAACAAUUAUCAAACCCUCCACUUUCGUUUCCACAGUUUGAUAAUGGUUGAUCCAUGUUUAAGCGGUGAAUUUAGAUAAGAAAUUAGGGUUACAUAAGAUUAAGGCUUAGAGCUUGGUUUGAUUAGGAUUAGGUCAUUUAGACUUAUCCAACAAUCCCAAGACAAGGAGAAGUCUACUCACUCAUGUUCAUCGUAGACAUGGGGGAGAAGAGAGAAAGCAUAAAAGUAAAUGACAAGAAAAUAAAGGAAAAGAAAAGAACUUUAACUAGAAAAGCAAUUGUCACUUCUUGAAUUCCAAGUAAAGAUGAAUAUUUGUGAUGGCUAGCUACUCUAUUUAUAGCAUACAUUCGACUUAAAAUCUAAGCAAUUACAUUACUGGAAUGUUCCACAAGAAACUGCGGGCUAAAAUAGAGUAGCUUAAAAUCUAAGCAAAAGCAGCAAAAGUGACUCUGGAGGGUGGCACGGCCGUGCCAAUGCUAGCACGGGCCGUGCAAAGCUUCUGACUUUGGGGAGAUAUAUUUUUGUCUCUCAAUCUUUGUAUUUUCGCACUGAAUCAGCUCCAAGUCUCUUUCUUUUGCUCCAAGAUUCAAUCCAUCCAAUAUUCUUUCCUGAAAUAAAUUAGAAUGCAAUUUGUAGUAAACUAUCCUAAAAAGAAAAUAAUACUAAUAUAAAAUAAAAUAAAAUCUAAUUAAAAUUAAACUAAAUAACAUAUAAAAAUAGGUAAUAAAUGACUCAUCAGUGGUUCAUAAACAAACAUAUUAUCGCGGAGAACUAAAUGAACUGAAAUUUGUGCAAAGUACUCAUUUCCUAUUCAAGUAGAACCUAGAAAAACUGGAAACUUGUACCUUGGCUUUGCGCUUUAUCACAAACUAGCUAUCAUUAUCAAUCAUCUGAGAAUUUUUCUUAAGUUUUGGCUAUCUUUCAAGCACUUUGAAAUUUGAAGCUUUGAGCAUUUUCUUUUCAAUAAGCAAGAGUGAUACAAAAACAAAACUUCCAUAAUUUUCAAAAUGAAACUACAUGAAGUACUUAAUAACACAAAAAAAAAAACAAAAAUACGAAUACGAAAUACGAAAAUACCAUAAUAAUUAAACAAAUUGUUAAUUAAACAAAGUAAGUCAUUGUGCGAAAUGAAACUAUAACAACUGAAGCAAAUAUUGUUCAAGAGUAACAUAAAAGAAAGCAAUUAAAAGAUGAAGGGGAAGGAAAGAAUUGACUGAAAGCUUAAAAGAUAUCACUCAUUAAGGUUGAGCUUUCAAGUCUAUUCUCUUCCUCCUCAUCUUUGCAUGUCAUCAUCUGAUCCAUUUUGAGUUGAAGUAGCACUUGGAACUCUGUCGGGAUUGUAACGCCCACUUUUGUUAAUUGUUUAUUUAAUCGAGUUUAGGCGAUUAUAUUAUAUUUAUAUAAUAUAUGCAUGAUUUUGGUAUGAUUUGAAUGAUUUACGACUAUAUUGAUGGUUUGGCUGAUAUUGUGAUAAGUUAUGAGUUUUGGAAGAUUUGAUAAGAUUAAGGGAUUUAUUUUAUUGUUAAAUAAAAUAAAGAUUUGAAAAUAAUAUAAAAUAUUUAGUUGAGGGCUGUUUUGAUAUUUUAGAUAGUUUUGAGGGAGAAAGUGAGAUAAGAUAAGUAAAUAAGAGGAGAUAUAAAAGAGUUAGACCUAGUUUUAGAAAAACAUUGUUGUACGUACGUUUUUGGAGAAAAAGGGAGAAAAAGCCAAGAGAAGAGAAACCAAGAGGGAGAGCUGCGAUUUUCUGCAAAUUAAGGUAAGGGUGAGACUAAUAACUCUGUAUUGUUAAUUGAAUGUAAUUCUGAUGAUUAGUUAGCAAGAAUUAGGAUUGAAUUGGAGAAAACGAAAACUAGGUCAAAUCCCUAAAAUUGAUGAUUAAACGGUAGGAAUUGAUUAAAUUGGUGUAGAAAGUGUUCCUGGACCUUAGAUAAUGUUUAGGACAAACUUUGGAAUCAAUACUAGGCUUAGAACCAUGUGAAUCGUCGGAUUUUUGUGAAAAUAGGAAGCCUGGCCGUAGCGACAUUCAUCGCUCGCCACGGCGAGCUAUGAACCUCGCCUCGCGAGUGAUGAUCUUCAUCGGUCGCCACGCGAGCCUUUCCCUUCGCCUCGCGAGUUCUUUUGGUAUUACUCGCCAUAGCGAGCAACCUUACUCGCCAUAGCAAGCUAAGGCAGAGAGCAUGUUGGAUUUUGUAAUUUCGACAUUUUAGUUGGACCUUGAGUGCCUUUGAGUGCCUGAACAUACCUAGUAAUGAAUAGGGAUGAAUGUAGGAAAAGAUUGAACCCAGAACAGCAUUAGUUUGGAACUUGUCUUGUACUCGCCAUGGCGAGUAAGAAUUCUCGCCUCGCGAGCACUUCCAGGUUGGAGUGUCUUGAGUGUUUGUGCGAUCUGUGUCGCACGUUUGGAUCAAGAGUGAACCCCCUUAUGGUAAUUGAGACCAAUGAUGACGUUUAAUGCAGUCUGUAAAGCUGUUUAAGAUAUGUUGAUGUUAAUUGAGCAUGAGUUAAUGUAUUAAACAUUAUGUAAGAUAUAAUGAAAUGUUAUGAUGCUAUUGAAUUGCAAUUGAUAUAUUGAUAUCUCCCUGUUGUUGUGUGACUUGACUGUGCUACUGCCGUUAUUUAACUAAGUGCAUAAUGUCUAUAUAUAUGAUGAAAUGAUGACGUUUAGCUCCAAAUUAUUGGAUGCAUAUUGAUAUGUUGAUUACGGUGAUUUGUUCAUAAGAGUCCAUGCAUUAGCAUUCAUUGAGCUUAGUCCUCACCACGAUUUAUUAGGAGCUUUGUCCUCCGCACGAUUUAUUAAGAGCUUUGUCCUCCGCACGUUUAAAGUAUAUUAAUACUUAUGAUGACGAUUGGUACCACAUGCAUAUAAGGAGUCUAAGAGCAUUGUCACAUUGUCAUGUCUAUAAUGCUAUGUUGUUGAUGACGAUUGAAUACGUGAUACUUGUUUAUUGAAUGUGCAAAGUUGUCUAUGAUUGAUGAUGUGAUUACGUGAUAAUUGUUUAUCAAAUAUGCAAAGUUACUUAAGAUUGAUUAUGAUGUUAAUGUUAAUUAUGAUUCGAAUUACUUUGAUUAACAUUAUUUUGUUAUGAAAUCUCACCCCUUCUGCUUGAAAAUGUUGCCCUUCGUAUGGGUAACUUGCAGGUGAUCGUGCUUAGUGUGCAGUUUCCGUCGUGAGUGGCCUUGCCUUCACUGUGUCGUCUAGGUCGCUCUGAUACGUAACGGGAUGGGGCUAUAUGUUAUGCAUGCUUCGUUCUAUUACGUGAAUAAUAUGCUAUUGUGAUAUUGAACUAACUCUUUUGAGAUUAUUUUGAUGGGGCCUGCGUGCCAAAACGUUUUUAUGACUAUGAUAUAAUUUCCGCUGCAAUGAUUAAGAUAUUUGGUUAAAUUAUUAUUUAACUGUUUUGGAUUAUGUUAUAUGUGAUAUCCCAUUUUUUAUGAUGCUUACUCUGAUAAAUGAUUUAAGAAAUUUGUAUAUUGGGAAAACGGGGUGUUACAGGGAUCAUCCGGAUCAUCUUGGUCAAUGCCUUCUUCAUUUCCAUCACCAUUAUCAUCUUCAGCCACCUCAUCAUUACCUGCAUAGAAACCACCCCUUCCAUAAGGACCUGGCAUGUCCUCGGACCAAUUCACAUAAGCCUGGAAAGCUGGAGGUGUAACGCCCACUUUCGUUUAAUCGUUUAUUUAAUCGAGUUUAGGUGAUUAUAUUAUAAUUAUAUAAUAUAUGCAUGAUUUUGGUAUGUUUUGAUGAUCUAUGAUGAUUUGAUCGAUGACGUGAUGAGUUAUGAGUUUUGGAAGAUUUGAUAAGGAUAUGAGAAUUAUUUUAUUGUUAAAUAAAAUAAAGAUUUGAAAAUAAUAUAAAAUAUUUAGUUAAGGGCUGUUUUGAUAUUUUAGAUAGUUUUGGGGGAGAAAGUGAGAUAAGAUAAGUAUUUAAGAAGAGGUAUAUAUAGGUUAGACCUAGUUUUAGAAAAACAUUGUACGUACGACUGUUUUGGAGAAAAAGCCAAGUCUAGAGAAACCAAGGAAGAGUGCUGCGAUUUUCUUCAAACAAGGUAAGGGUGAGACUAAUAAUUCAAUAAUGUUGAUUGCUGUGAUUCUGAUGAUUAAAUGGCAAAGUUAGGAUUGUUUUAGAAAAGUUUGGAAAUUAGGUCAAAACCCUAAAAAUUGAUGAUCGAAUGGUAAAACUUGUUUAAAUUGAUGUAGAAAUCGUCCUUUAACCUUAGAACAUGUUUAGGAUGGAUUAUGGAAUCAAAAUUAGGCUUUGAACCGUGUUAUUUGAUGGAUUUUCGAGAAAACCCGUAGUCUGCCCGCGCUUCUGUUCAUCGCUCGCCACGGCGAAUGAUGAUCCUCGCCUCGCGAGUUGUUUGGUACAACUCGCCAUGGCGAGCAACCCUUCCUCGCCUCACGAGCUUAGGCAUAGAGCAUGUCAUAUUUUGUGUUUCGACCUUUUUAGUUGGACCUUGAGUGCCUUUGAGUUCCUGAACAUGCCUAGUAUUGAUUAGGAAUGAAUGUAGGAUCAGAGGGAACCUAGAACAAGUUUAUUUUGGGAGUUGAGUGGUACUCGCCAUGGCGAGUAAGAACUUUCGCCUCGCGAGCACAGCCAGGAUGCAGUUGCUGGUGUGUUUGUGCGAUCUGAGUCGCACGUGUUGAUCUAGAGUGAACCCCUAACUACUAAUAAGACCUAAUGAUGACGUUUAAUGCAGUCUGUAGAGUUGUUUAAGUUAUGUUGAUACAAUUGGACAUGAACUAAUGUAUUGUAUAUUCAUGCAAGAUAUGAAAGCUUGAUAAUGAUGCAAUUUAUGUGCUAUUGAUAUAAUGAUAUCAUCUCGUUUAUGUGACCUGUUUAUGCUGCUUCCGUUAUUUAACUAAGUGCAUAAGUAUAUGAUGAAGUUAGCUCCAAAUUAUUGGAUGCAUGUUGAUAUGUUGAUUACGAUGUUUUGUUCAUAAGUGUCCAUGCAUAGCAUCUCAUUGAGCUUAGUCCUCACCACGAAUAUUAGGAGCUUUGUCCUCCGCACGUUUUAUAGGAGCUUUGUCCUCCGCACGAUUAAAGUAUAUUAAUACUUAUGAUGACGAUUGGUACCACAUGCAUAUAAGGAGUCUAAGAGCAUUGUCACAUUGUCAUGAUUAAGAUACCUUAUUGAUAAUGAUUGAUUACGUGAUUAUGUGAUAAGUGUUUAUCGAAUACGUUAUGUUGUUCAUGAUAAUUGGAUAUAUGAUUAUGUUAUAACUGUUUAGCAAUUAUGCAAUGUUAUUUAAGGAAUGAUUAUGAUGUUAAUUUAUGAUUCGCAAUUACAUUGAUUAAUGUUAUUUGAUUAUGAAAUUUCACCCCUUCUGCUUGAAAAUGUUGCCCUUCGUAUGGGUAACUUGCAGGUGAUCGUGCUUAGUGUGCAGUUGUCGUAGUGAGUGGCCUUGCCUUCUCUGUGUCGUCUAGGUCGCUCUGAUACGUAACGGGAUGGGGUUAUAUGCUAUAACAUGCUUCAUUCUUUUACGUGAACUGCUAUGAUAAUUUCUGUUUUGAUUAACUCUUUUGAGAUACUUUAUUGGGGCCUGCGUGCCAAACUGAUUUAUGGUUUAUGAACUAAUAUUCCGCUGCUAUGUUAAGAUAUUAUGUGGAAGUUAAAUUAUUAUUUAACUGUUUUCGGAUUACGUUCCUAUGUGAUAUCCCGUUUAUGGUUUUUACUCUGAUAAAUGUUUAAGAAAUUUGUAUAUUGGGAAAACGGGGUGUUACAAUUGGUAUCAGAGCAGGUCGGUCCGUCCGGUCAAUUAGAGAGUCGUGUCGAGUCUUAGUAAUAUUUAUAUUACUAUCUUAUGUUGUUGUUGUUGUUGUUGUUGCUACUUUUGUAGAAUAUCAGGAAUGGCUGGAAGAAACGAUGCUGCGUUAGCUGCUGCUCUACAAGCUGUUGCCCAAGCUGUGGGACAACAACCUAACACAAAUGCUGGUGCGAAUGCUGAAGCUAGGAUGUUGGAGACUUUCAUGAAGAAGAACCCUCCAACUUUCAAAGGACGUUAUGACCCUGAUGGAGCCCAGACGUGGCUUAAGGAGAUUGAGAGGAUUUUCCGGGUUAUGCAGUGCACUGAGGAUCAGAAAGUGCGGUUUGGUACUCAUCAGCUAGCCGAGGAAGCUGAUGACUGGUGGGUUGCUCUUUUGCCUACCCUUGGGCAGGAGGGAGCUGUUGUGACUUGGGCUGUUUUCAGGAGAGAGUUCCUGAGAAGAUACUUUCCGGAAGAUGUUCGUGGGAAGAAGGAGAUCGAGUUCCUUGAGUUGAAGCAAGGAAACAUGUCUGUGACAGAGUAUGCUGCCAAGUUCGUGGAACUGUCAAAGUUCUACCCGCACUAUACUGCUGAGAAUGCUGAGUUCUCGAGAUGCAUCAAGUUCGAGAACGGUUUGAGGCCCGACAUCAAGAGGGCAAUUGGGUACCAACAGCUGAGAGUUUUUCCAGAUUUGGUCAAUAGCUGCAGGAUCUAUGAAGAGGAUACGAAGGCUCACUACAAGGUAGUGAAUGAGAGGAAGGGCAAGGGACAGCAGAGUCGUCCUAAGCCGUACAGUGCCCCUGCUGAUAAAGGGAAACAGAAGAUGGUCGAUGUUAGGCGGCCUAAGAAGAAGGAUGCUGCAGAGAUUGUGUGUUUCAAUUGUGGUGAGAAAGGCCACAAAAGCAACGUCUGCCCUGAGGAAAUCAAGAAGUGUGUCCGGUGUGGCAAGAAAGGUCAUGUUGUAGCUGAUUGCAAUCGUACGGACAUUGUGUGUUUUAACUGCAAUGGAGAGGGUCGCAUUAGUUCACAGUGUACUCAGCCUAAGAGGGCGCCGACUACUGGUAGAGUCUUUGCUUUGACUGGUACUCAGACAGAUAACGAGGAUCGUUUGAUCAGAGGUACUUGCUAUAUUAAUAAUACUCCUUUAGUUGCUAUUAUUGAUACUGGUGCUACGCAUUGUUUUAUUGCUUUCGAUUGUGUUUCUGCUUUGGGUCUUGAUUUGUCUGAUAUGAAUGGAGAGAUGGUUGUCGAAACUCCAGCUAAGGGUUCGGUGACUACUUCUCUCGUAUGUUUGAAAUGUCCUUUGUCUAUGUUUGGUCGUGAUUUCGAAAUGGAUUUAGUUUGUCUACCUUUGAGCGGUAUGGAUGUGAUUCUGGGUAUGAACUGGUUAGAGUACAACCACGUUCUUAUUAAUUGUUUUAGCAAGUCAGUGCAUUUCUCUUCCGUCGAAGAGGAAAGUGGUGCAGAGUUUUUAUCUACUAAGCAGCUGAAGCAACUGGAACGCGACGGUAUCUUGAUGUUUUCGUUAAUGGCUACCUUAUCUACUGAGAAUCAAGCAGUGAUUAAUAGGUUACCUGUGGUGUGUGAAUUUCCUGAAGUUUUUCCGGGUGAGAUUCCAGAUGUGCCUCCAGAGAGAGAAGUUGAGUUUUCUAUUGAUCUUGUUCCUGGAACGAAGCCGGUCUCGAUGGCACCUUAUCGUAUGUCUGCUUCCGAGUUAUCUGAGUUGAAGAAACAGUUGGAGGACUUGCUUGAGAAGAAGUUUGUUAGACCAAGUGUUUCACCUUGGGGAGCGCCGGUUUUGUUAGUAAACAAGAAAGAUGGUAGUAUGCAGUUAUGUAUUGAUUAUCGGCAUUUGAACAAGGUAACUAUCAAGAAUAGGUAUCCACUUCCGAGAAUUGAUGAUUUGAUGGAUCAGUUAGUGGGUGCACGUGUUUUUAGCAAGAUUGAUUUGAGGUCAGGUUAUCACCAGAUUAAAGUAAAGGAUGAAGAUAUGCAGAAGACAGCUUUCAGAACGCGUUAUGGUCACUAUGAAUAUAAAGUUAUGCCUUUUGGUGUUACCAAUGCACCUGGAGUGUUUAUGGAGUAUAUGAAUCGCAUCUUCCAUGCAUUUUUGGAUCGGUUUGUGGUUGUGUUUAUCGACGAUAUUUUGAUUUACUCCAAGACUGAAGAAGAACAUGCUGAGCAUCUGAAGAUUGUUUUGCAAGUGUUGAAAGAGAAGAAGCUUUAUGCUAAAUUGUCUAAGUGUGAAUUCUGGUUGAAAGAAGUGAGUUUUCUAGGCUAUGUUAUUUCUGGUGAUGGUAUUGCAGUGGAUCCGUCUAAAGUUGAAGCGGUAUCACAGUGGGAGACUCCUAAGUCAGUUACUGAGAUUAGAAGUUUCUUGGGUUUAGCUGGUUACUAUAGAAGGUUUAUUGAAGGGUUUUCUAAGUUAGCUCUUCCGCUAACGCAGUUGACUUGUAAAGGUAAAACUUUUGUGUGGGACGUCCAUUGUGAGAACAGUUUCGGUGAAUUGAAGAAGCGUUUGACGAAUGCUCUAGUGUUAUUUUUGCCGAAGUCAGAUGAACCUUUUGUGGUAUAUUGUGAUGCGUCCAAGUUGGGUUUAGGAGGUGUACUUAUGCAAGAAGGUAAAGUGGUAGCUUAUGCUUCAAGACAGUAGAGAAUUCAUGAGAAGAAUUAUCCUACGCAUGAUCUCGAGUUGGUGGCCGUAGUCUUUGUAUUGAAGAUAUGGAGACAUUACUUGUAUGGUUCGAGAUUUGAGGUGUUUAGUGAUCACAAGAGUUUGAAGUAUUUGUUCGAUCAGAAGGAAUUGAAUAUGAGACAGCGAAGAUGGCUUGAAUUGUUGAAAGAUUAUGACUUUGGUUUGAAUUAUCAUCCAGGUAAAGCUAAUGUUGUUGCAGAUGCCUUGAGUAGGAAGACAUUGCAUAUGUCCGCUAUGAUGGUCAGAGAGUUCGAAUUGCUUGAACAGUUUAGAGAUAUGAGUUUGGUUUGCGAAUGGUCACCUCAGAGUGUGAAACUGGGUAUGCUGAAGAUUGAUAGUGAAUUCCUGAAAAGUAUCAAGGAAGCACAGAAAGUUGAUGUAAAGUUUGUGGACUUGUUGGUUGCUAGAGAUCAGACUGAAGACAGUGAUUUUAAAAUCGAUGAUCAAGGUGUGUUGAGAUUCCGAGGAAGAAUUUGUAUCCCAGACAAUGAAGAGAUUAAGAAGAUGAUUCUUGAAGAGAGUCAUAGAAGUAGCUUGAGUAUUCACCCGGGAGCUACGAAGAUGUAUCAUGAUUUAAAUAAGAUUUUCUGGUGGUCUGGUUUGAAACGAGAUGUGGCACAGUUUGUGUAUUCCUGUUUAGUUUGCCAGAAAUCGAAAGUUGAGCAUCAGAAACCUGCUGGAAUGAUGGUACCUUUAGAUGUGCCGGAAUGGAAGUGGGAUAGUAUAUCCAUGGAUUUUGUGACGAGUUUGCCAAAUACUCCUAGAGGGAACGACGCAAUUUGGGUUAUUGUUGAUAGAUUGACGAAGUCGGCUCAUUUUCUACCGAUUAAUAUUAGUUUCCCUGUUGCCCAGUUGGCGGAGAUUUAUAUCAAGGAGAUCGUGAGGUUGCAUGGUGUUCCUUCGAGCAUUGUGUCAGAUAGAGAUCCAAGAUUUACUUCUAGAUUUUGGAAAAGUUUGCAAGAGGCUUUGGGUUCGAAGUUGAGGUUGAGUUCGGCAUAUCAUCCGCAGAAAGAUGGUCAGUCGGAGAGGACAAUUCAGUCGCUAGAGGAUUUGUUCAGAAUUUGUGUUCUUGAGCAAGGAGGAACUUGGGAUAGUCAUCUUCCGUUGAUCGAGUUCACAGACAAUAAUAGUUAUCAUUCAAGUAUUGGAAUGGCACCUUUCGAGGCUUUAUAUGGUCGGAGAUGCAGAACUCCGUUGUGCUGGUUUGAGUCAGGUGAAAGAGUGGUCUUAGGACCAGAGAUUGUUCAGCAGACUACUGAGAAAGUCCGGAUGAUCCAAGAGAAAAUGAAGGCGUCGCAGAAUCGACAAAAGAGUUAUCAUGAUAAGCGUAGAAAAGAUCUUGAGUUUCAAGAAGGAGACCACGUGUUUUUGAGAGUCACUCCUAUGACUGGUGUAGGACGUGCUUUGAAGUCAAAGAAGUUGACCCCGAAGUUCAUUGGUCCGUAUCAGAUAUUGGAAAGAGUUGGAACGGUGGCUUACCGAGUGGGUUUACCGCCGCAUCUUUCGAAUUUGCACAACGUUUUCCAUGUGUCGCAACUUCGGAAGUAUGUUCCGGAUCCAUCUCAUGUAAUCCAAAGUGACGAUGUGCAAGUUAGAGACAACCUUACGGUAGAGACUUUACCGGUGAGGAUUGAUGAUCGUAAAGUGAAGACGUUGAGAGGCAAGGAGAUACCUCUCGUGAGAGUCGUUUGGACGGGAGCGACUGGUGAAAGCUUGACGUGGGAGCUUGAGAGUAAGAUGCUGGAGUCUUAUCCAGAGUUGUUUGCUUGAGGUAAAUUUUCGAGGACGAAAAUCUUUUAAGUGGGGGAGAGUUGUAACGCCCACUUUCGUUUAAUCGUUUAUUUAAUCGAGUUUAGGUGAUUAUAUUAUAAUUAUAUAAUAUAUGCAUGAUUUUGGUAUGUUUUGAUGAUCUAUGAUGAUUUGAUCGAUGACAUGAUGAGUUAUGAGUUUUGGAAGAUUUGAUAAGGAUAUGAGAAUUAUUUUAUUGUUAAAUAAAAUAAAGAUUUGAAAAUAAUAUAAAAUAUUUAGUUAAGGGCUGUUUUGAUAUUUUAGAUAGUUUUGGGGGAGAAAGUGAGAUAAGAUAAGUAUUUAAGAAGAGGUAUAUAUAGGUUAGACCUAGUUUUAGAAAAACAUUGUACGUACGACUGUUUUGGAGAAAAAGCCAAGUCUAGAGAAACCAAGGAAGAGUGUUGCGAUUUUCUUCAAACAAGGUAAGGGUGAGACUAAUAAUUCAAUAAUAUUGAUUGCUGUGAUUCUGAUGAUUAAAUGGCAAAGUUAGGAUUGUUUUAGAAAAGUUUGGAAAUUAGGUCAAAACCCUAAAAAUUGAUGAUCGAAUGGUAAAACUUGUUUAAAUUGAUGUAGAAAUCGUCCUUUAACCUUAGAACAUGUUUAGGAUGGAUUAUGGAAUCAAAAUUAGGCUUUGAACCGUGUUAUUUGAUGGAUUUUCGAGAAAACCCGUAGUCUGCCCGCGCUUCUGUUCAUCGCUCGCCACGGCGAGGGAUGAUCCUCGCCUCGCGAGUGAUGAACUUCAUCGCUCGCCACACGAGCCCUUUCCCUUCGCCUCGCGAGUUGUUUGGUACAACUCGCCAUGGCGAGCAACCCUUCCUCGCCUCACGAGCUUAGGCAGAGAGCAUGUCAUAUUUUGUGUUUCGACCUUUUUAGUUGGACCUUGAGUGCCUUUGAGUGCCUGAACAUGCCUAGUAUUGAUUAGGAAUGAAUGUAGGAUCAGAGGGAACCCAGAACAAGUUUAUUUUGGGAGUUGAGUGGUACUCGCCAUGGCGAGUAAGAACUAUCGCCUCGCGAGCACAGCCAGGAUGCAGUUGCUGGUGUGUUUGUGCGAUCUGAGUCGCACGUGUUGAUCUAGAGUGAACCCUGUAACACCCCGUUUUCCCAACAUAAAAAUUUCCUAAAUUAAUCAGAGUAAAACCCCUUAAACGGAAUGUUACACUUCUUUUCUUAAAAAUCACAAAUGGAAUAAUUAGAUAAUUAUCCUUCAAAUUUCAACAACGUAAUAAUUAAAACUUUGCAGCGGAAUUAAUUUAACGACAAUAAAAGCUUCAACAACAUGUUCCAAAAUUGAUACAUAAAGGAAUGAUAAACUUAGCAACAAUUUCCCAUCCCGUUACGUAUCAGAGCCCUAAGACACUUGAGCCACCACUCCUACUAAACUUUAAUACCUGCAAGUUACCCAUACGAAGGACAACAUUUUCAAGCAGAAGGGGUGAGAUUCACAAUCAAUAAUAAUAAUAUAUAAUUCAUCAAAUGCACCUAACAACUUAAACUCCAUCAAUUAGUAAUAAUAAUUCUUUUAACGACUCCUAAACCAUAUCAUGUACUCAUCAUAUCAACAGUCAUAACUCGAUAUCAUAAACAAUCAUCAUAACAGCAUCAUUUAACUUCAUAAUCAACAUCUUAAUCAUAAUCAUAUAACAUCAUACUCAUAAUUCGUAUACAACAUGACAACUUUAUAAUCAAUGACAUAAACAACGUAACAACAUCAUAUUCAUAGUUCAUAUACACAUAACAACAUCAUUAAUUCGUAUUAACAUUCUCCACUAAGCACCUUAUUAACAACUCAUGAAUAGGGGACAACUUAGCAACUAUACGUAACAUCAUUAUUUCAUAAUAAUAAUUAUUCAUCAAACAUUCCAUUAGCAAUUCAUGAAUAAAAGACAACUUAUCAACGUAACAUAACCAUCAUCAAAUACAUUUAACAACUCAUAGAUAACAUCACAUAAUCAUCAUCACAACAUUCAUAAUCAUCAUCAUGUAACAUUUAACAACUCAUAGAUAACAUCACAUAAUCAUCAUCACAACAUUCAUAAUCAUCAUCAUGUAACAUCAUAACAACCUCAUAUUCAACACCAUAAACAGUCAUCAUAACAUCGUAAUCAAUAUCAUAAACAUCUUCUCAUAAUAUUAUAAACGACACAACAUAAUCAUCACAAUAUAAACAACUACAUAUAUUUUACAAUAAUGUUCUUACUCCUUUAACUUUAGUAACAGUUACUAAUUCAACCAACAACGACGAUAACUACAAUUAUCCAAUAUAUGUAUAUAUUUCAUAAUGAACAAUAUCAUCAAUAAUAGAUAUCUAACUCAUCAAUUAAAUCUAACACCCUGUCAUAAUAACAAUUCAUCAAUAUAUAAGUAUAUCAUCAUUAACAACAUCAACCAAAUGAUAAUUAAAACCAACAACAACGACUCAUGCAACAACUCGACACCACCGCUAAGACUCAUGCAAGACAUGACAACUCCACUAAGACUCCUCAACAAAUGCAACUAUGCAUGUGGUACCAUAUCAGAGCCGAAGCCCUCAUCGUUAUAGAAUGGUUAAAGCAUUCUUUUAUCAGGACAUGAGUCCUCAUCGUUAACAUCGUUUUGAACAACAUAGUGUUCCAUCGUUUUGAACGACAAGGCGUUCCAGGACCGAGGUCCUCAUCGUUUUUAUGCUUAUGCAACUGACUCCACUUGUGUAUAUCUACAUACAACUCAAAAACAAAUGCAUAUGUACUUAUAUGACUCACCACCCUUUAAUGCAACUGACUCCACUUGUGUAUAUCUACAUACAACUCAACAACAUCAACGACAACCACUACUCAUCAAUGCAUAUAUGUAAAUAUGACUUCACCUCGACAAUCCAAUUAAUAAUACUUCAACCUUUGAAAAGAAUUCAGCAACAUGUAUAAUUUAUUUAAAUAUAAAUAUACACCACAGUCAACAAUAAUCCAUCAUAAUUGAUCCAACGAUUUCAGAAAAUACACAAUUAAUCAUCUCCAGAUUCACUAAACUCAACAACGACAACAUAGGCAGCACAUAAACAUCUCAAGAUAUAACAAUAUCAAAUGAUAAUCAAUAUCAACUUAAACAUCUUAUAUAAUCCACAUAACGAAUAUAUUUCACAUUAACCAACAUUACCCAACAUUAGGUUAAAUACUCUUAAACACCUUAAUUUCACUCAUAUUACUUUUAGUUUUGAGCCUUGGAAUUAUCCCAUAAGUUUUGGAUUAACUUGGAAAUGGUUGUGCUGAAUUUUCAUAAGAUUUCCCUAAGACCUACUUGGAGUAUUUUCAUCAUAACUCCUAAACCAAAAAUCAUUUUAGAGUCAAACCAAAGCCAUUGGAAAGCUAACAAAAUUAUCUAAAACUUCCAUGUUUACACCCAAGUCCAAUUCAAAACAGAAACGUGUGAAAAAGACACAAGAACGCGAAAUAAGGAAUGCUGUCAAAAGGCAUUUCGCUUAAGCGAACGGUGCUUCGCUUAAGCGAACUACUUACAAUAGCUGUUCGCUUACAUCUCGCUUCCGGCUCGCUUAAGCGAACAGUCAUCGUUUCUGCAUAAUUUUUCACGGGUUUAACCCAUUUUUCACCCCAAAACUCCCAAUUUUGAUCUCCCAAUGCCCAAACAUGUUUCCAAAGAUUGUUUAUAAGUUCAUUAUACAAUUAGGCAUCUAAAGGAACAUAAAACAUGCAUCAACAACAACAAUUCAUCUCAUUCUCACAAUCUUGCAAUUUCCCCCAAUUUUCCUCCAACAAUCCUAACCUCUCCAAAUUCGGAUUACAGCAACAUUAUAAUUCCUAAAAUCAAUCUGAAUAUGAAUUCUAAGCAUAAUUAACAUGAAUUCUUACUCUUUUCUUCCAAAAUCAGUAUAGAACCCUAAUUCCCAAAUUCUUAUUUUUCAAGAACAAUUCUAAUCAAAACAAUUUUCAGAAACCAUAUAUUAUAAUCAUUGAAGGUUAGUCUCACCCUUACCUUAAUUUAGAAGAAAACGCACGAACAAUCUACAGCAAAAACGAUCAUCUCUUGCUCUAGCUCUCCCUUUGGCUUGGUUUUCUCUCCCAAAACUUGUUUCACGUAAAACUGCUUCUGACCUUUUCCUUUCCUAACUCCCAAAACUAUAACUUCCCCUUUUUCAUUAAACUCCCUUAAUUUUUAUUAGAUCCUAAUUAACUCCCACACUCCAAAAUAAUUCUAUUUCUCCACUUAUUCUAUUAAAUAAUGAAAAUAACCAUUUAAUAAAAUACAUCACACCACAAAAUCAACAUAAAUCAUUUAAAAUCAUAUAAAAGACUUUAAAUCAACUAAAAAUAAUUAAAUAACAAUUAGGGCGUUACAACUCUACCCCCGUUAAAAGAAUUUCGUCCUCGAAAUUCAAAGCACACAAGAAAAUGAAUUCAAUUAUUGGUUAAAUAUCUUAAACUAUAUAUAGCCAAAUAGAAACUUCAAACAAAACAUACAAACCACAUUAAAGUCAAUCAAUCAAACAUGAUCACAUAAUAAAUAUAACCAUUAAUCAGUAAACACAACGACAAUCAAGACAACGUAAGACAGUAUUACAACUGUUACUCAACAAGACACGACUCAACUACUUGGCCGGACGGACCAACCUGCUCUGAUACCAAUUGUAACACCCCGUUUUCCCAACAUAAAAAUUUCAUAAAUUAAUCAGAGUAAAACACCUUAAACGGAAUGUUACACUUCUUUUCUUAAAAAUCACAAAUGGAAUAAUUAGAUAAUUAUCCUUCAAAUUUCAACAACGUAAUAAUUAAAACUUUGCAGCGGAAUUAAUUUAACGACAAUAAAAGCUUCAACAACAUGUUCCAAAAUUGAUACAUAAAGGAAUGAUAAACUUAGCAACAAUUUCCCAUCCCGUUACGUAUCAGAGCCCUAAGACACUUGAGCCACCACUCCUACUAAACUUUAAUACCUGCAAGUUACUCAUACGAAGGACAACAUUUUCAAGCAGAAGGGGUGAGAUUCACAAUCAAUAAUAAUAAUAUAUAAUUCAUCAAAUGCAUCUAACAACUUAAACUCCAUCAAUUAGUAAUAAUAAUUCUUUUAACGACUCCUAAACCAUAUCAUGUACUCAUCAUAUCAACAGUCAUAACUCAAUAUCAUAAACAAUCAUCAUAACAGCAUCAUUUAACUUCAUAAUCAACAUCUUAAUCAUAAUCAUAUAACAUCAUACUCAUAAUUCGUAUACAACAUGACAACUUUAUAAUCAAUGACAUAAACAACGUAACAACAUCAUAUUCAUAGUUCAUAUACACAUAACAACAUCAUUAAUUCGUAUUAACAUUCUCCACUAAGCACCUUAUUAACAACUCAUGAAUAGGGGACAACUUAGCAACUAUACGUAACAUCAUUAUUUCAUAAUAAUAAUUAUUCAUCAAACAUUCCAUUAGCAAUUCAUGAAUAAAAGACAACUUAUCAACGUAACAUAACCAUCAUCAAGUACAUUUAACAACUCAUAGAUAACAUCACAUAAUCAUCAUCACAACAUUCAUAAUCAUCAUCAUGUAACAUUUAACAACUCAUAGAUAACAUCACAUAAUCAUCAUCACAACAUUCAUAAUCAUCAUCAUGUAACAUCAUAACAACCUCAUAUUCAACAUCAUAAACAGUCAUCAUAACAUCGUAAUCAAUAUCAUAAACAUCUUCUCAUAAUAUUAUAAACGACACAACAUAAUCAUCACAUCAUAACAAUAUAAACAACUACAUAUAUUUUACAAUAAUGUUCUUACUCCUUUAACUUUAGUAACAGUUACUAAUUCAACCAACAACGACGAUAACUACAAUUAUCCAAUAUAUGUAUAUAUUUCAUAAUGAACAAUAUCAUCAAUAAUAGAUAUCUAACUCAUCAAUUAAAUCUAACACCCUGUCAUAAUAAUAAUUCAUCAAUAUAUAAGUAAAUCAUCAUUAACAACAUCAACCAAAUGAUAAUUAAAACCAACAACAACGACUCAUGCAACAACUCGACACCACCGCUAAGACUCAUGCAAGACAUGACAACUCCACUAAGACUCCUCAACAAAUGCAACUAUGCAUGUCGUACCAUAUCAGAGCCGAAGCCCUCAUCGUUAUAGAAUGGUUAAAGCAUUCUUUUAUCAGGACAUGAGUCCUCAUCGUUAACAUCGUUUUGAACAACAUAGUGUUCCAUCGUUUUGAACGACAAGGUGUUCCAGGACCGAGGUCCUCAUCGUUUUUAUGCUUAUGCAACUGACUCCACUUGUGUAUAUCUACAUACAACUCAAAAACAAAUGCAUAUGUACUUAUAUGACUCACCACCCUUUAAUGCAACUGACUCCACUUGUGUAUAUCUACAUACAACUCAACAACAUCAACGACAACCACUACUCAUCAAUGCAUAUAUGUAAAUAUGACUUCACCUCGACAAUCCAAUUAAUAAUACUUCAACCUUUGAAAAGAAUUCAGCAACAUGUAUAAUUUAUUUAAAUAUAAUUAUACACCACAGUCAACAAUAAUCCAUCAUAAUUGAUCCAACGAUUUCAGAAAAUACACAAUUAAUCAUCUCCAGAUUCACUAAACUCAACAACGACAACAUAGGCAGCACAUAAACAUCUCAAGAUAUAACAAUAUCAAAUGAUAAUCAAUAUCAACUUAAACAUCUUAUAUAAUCCACAUAACGAAUAUAUUUCACAUUAACCAACAUUACCCAACAUUAGGUUAAAUACUCUUAAACACCUUAAUUUCACUCAUAUUACUUUUAGUUUUGAGCCUUGGAAUUAUCCUAUAAGUUUUGGAUUAACUUGGAAAUGGUUGUGCUGAAUUUUCAUAAGAUUUCCCUAAGACCUACUUGGAGUAUUUUCAUCAUAACUCUUAAACCAAAAAUCAUUUUAGAGUCAAACCAAAGCCAUUGGAAAGCUAACAAAAUUAUCUAAAACUUCCAUGUUUACACCCAAGUCCAAUUCAAAACAGAAACGUGUGAAAAAGACACAAGAACGCGAAAUAAGGAAUGCUUUCAAAAGGCAUUUCGCUUAAGCGAACGGUGCUUCGCUUAAGCGAACUACUUACAGUAGCUGUUCGCUUACAUCUCGCUUCCGGCUCGCUUAAGCGAACAGUCAUCUUUUCUGCAUAAUUUUUCACGGGUUUAACCCAUUUUUCACCCCAAAACUCCCAAUUUUGAUCUCCCAAUGCCCAAACAUGUUUCCAAAGAUUGUUUAUAAGUUCAUUAUACAAUUAGGCAUCUAAAGGAACAUAAAACAUGCAUCAACAACAACAAUUCAUCUCAUUCUCACAAUCUUGCAAUUUCCCCCAAUUUUCCUCCAACAAUCCUAACCUCUCCAAAUUCGGAUUACAGCAACAUUAUAAUUCCUAAAAUCAAUCUGAAUAUGAAUUCUAAGCAUAAUUAACAUGAAUUCUUACUCUUUUCUUCCAAAAUCAGUAUAGAACCCUAAUUCCCAAAUUCUUAUUUUUCAAGAACAAUUCUAAUCAAAACAAUUUUCAGAAACCAUAUAUUAUAAUCAUUGAAGGUUAGCCUCACCCUUACCUUAAUUUAGAAGAAAACGCACGAACAAUCUACAGCAAAAACGAUCAUCUCUUGCUCUAGCUCUCCCUUUGGCUUGGUUUUCUCUCCCAAAACUUGUUUCACGUAAAACUGCUUCUGACCUUUUCCUUUCCUAACUCCCAAAACUAUAACUUCCCCUUUUUCAUUAAACUCCCUUAAUUUUUAUUAGAUCCUAAUUAACUCCCACACUCCAAAAUAAUUCUAUUUCUCCACUUAUUCUAUUAAAUAAUGAAAAUAACCAUUUAAUAAAAUACACCACACCACAAAAUCAACAUAAAUCAUUUAAAAUCAUAUAAAAGACUUUAAAUCAACUAAAAAUAAUUAAAUAACAAUUAGGGCGUUACAAACCCCUAACUAGUAAUAAGACCUAAUGAUGACGUUUAAUGCAGUAUGUAGAGUUGUUUAAGUUAUGUUGAUACAAUUGGACAUGAACUAAUGUAUUGUAUAUUCAUGCAAGAUAUGAAAGCUUGAUAAUGAUGCAAUUUAUGUGCUAUUGAUAUAAUGAUAUCAUCUCGUUUAUGUGACCUGUUUAUGCUGCUUCCGUUAUUUAACUAAGUGCAUAAGUAUAUGAUGAAGUUAGCUCCAAAUUAUUUGAUGCAUGUUGAUAUGUUGAUUACGAUGUUUUGUUCAUAAGUGCCCAUGCAUAGCAUCUCAUUGAGCAUAGUCCUCACCACGAAUAUUAGGAGCUUUGUCCUCCGCACGUUUUAUAGGAGCUUUGUCCUCCGCACGAUUAAAGUAUAUUAAUACUUAUGAUGACGAUUGGUACCACAUGCAUAUAAGGAGUCUAAGAGCAUUGUCGCAUUGUCAUGAUUAAGAUGCCUUCUUGAUAAUGAUUGAUUAUGUGAUAAGUGUUUAUCGAAUACGUUAUGUUGUUCAUGAUAAUUGGAUAUAUGAUUAUGUUAUAGCUGUUUAGCAAUUAUGCAAUGUUAUUUAAGGAAUGAUUAUGAUGUUAAUUUAUGAUUCGCAAUUACAUUGAUUAAUGUUAUUUGAUUAUGAAAUCUCACCCCUUCUGCUUGAAAAUGUUGCCCUUCGUAUGGGUAACUUGCAGGUGAUCGUGCUUAGUGUGCAGUUGUCGUCGUGAGUGGCCUUGCCUUCUCUGUGUCGUCUAGGUCGCUCUGAUACGUAACGGGAUGGGGUUAUAUGUUAUAACAUGCUUCAUUCUUUUACGUGAACUGCUAUGAUAAUUUCUGUUUUGAUUAACUCUUUUGAGAUACUUUAUUGGGGCCUGCGUGCCAAACUGAUUUAUGGUUUAUGAACUAAUAUUCCGCUGCUAUGUUAAGAUAUUAUGUGGAAGUUAAAUUAUUAUUUAACUGUUUUCGGAUUACGUUCCUAUGUGAUAUCCCGUUUAUGGUUUUUACUCUGAUAAAUGUUUAAGAAAUUUGUAUAUUGGGAAAACGGGGUGUUACAGGAGGUGUCAUGAACUGCCCCAUAACCUCCGGAGGAUACCCUGCUUGCUGCUGCAUCAGAUACUGGGACUACUGGAAGUAUGUAUUUGCUCGGUUAGUGGCGGCCAGUGUAACACCCCGUUUUCUCAAUAUACAAAUUUCUUAAAUCAUUUAUCAGAGUAAGCAUCAUAAUCAACGGGAUAUCACAUAUAACAUAAUCCAAAACAGUUAAAUAAUAAUUUAACCAUAUAUCUUAAUCAUUGCAGCGGAAACUAUAUCAUAGUCAUAAAACGUUUUGGCACGCAAGCCCCAUCAAAGUAAUCUCAAAAGAGUUAGUUCAAUAACACAAUAGCAUAUUAUUCACGUAAUAGAACGAAGCAUGCAUAACAUAUAGCCCCAUCCCGUUACGUAUCAGAGCGACCUAGACGACACAGUGAAGGCAAGGCCACUCACGACGGAAACUGCACACUAAACACGAUCACCUGCAAGUUACUCAUACGAAGGGCAACAUUUUCAAGCAGAAGGGGUGAGAUUUCAUAACAAAAUAAUGUUAAGCAAAGUAAUUCGAAUCAUAAUUAACA
rnacentral:lncRNA from 1 species